CUCUCACAGACCACCACCCCUAUCCGCCAAGGCUCGCGCUCUCCGGCGAGGUGCACGCACGGUUGACUUGGGUUGGGUUGUGGGAGCACGAAACCGACACACCACCAACAGCACCACUGUUCCCAAGCUCAAACUCACGCGCUUGGUGUAGACGGGAUACCGUAUAAACCCUCCACACCACACUGUCAUUUCGGAGCAUCAGCAACAACACUAGUCGAGUAAUCCAGCCAAUAAAGCCUCCCCGCCUCCUCUGUGGCCGGAUCAGAAUGUGCUUCGAGUUCGGCUCGUGUUUCGGGGGCGGCAGGACGGACGACUACGGCGGCGAGCGGCCGAACCGCAAGGAGGAGCACGGCCGCGGCCGUCGUGGCCGCGACCGCACGUGGAACCACGUUAGCCACCACAACGGCGGCCCUGCUGACCACAAACCGUUGCCGCACGCCGCAGUCGAUGAGGCCGGACACAAGGCCUACCACGACGGCGCCCGGAAAGCCGACCACGUCGACGUCGGUGCCGGCGGGUACGCCGUCUACCCGCAACUCGAGGCCGGCAUCGAGGCGCCGAAGGUUCCCGCGUGGCACAACAAGGUCGGCGAUGACGCCUACACGGGGCGCCUCCAAGUCCAAGAACCUGCGGCCAUGGAUUACCACCACUACUACCGCUCUAGGCAGGGCAGGUACUAGGUACUCAGAUUAGCUAGUGUCGAGGUCCCUCCCCCUUCUAUCUGAACACCUGCCUCUGCUUCUGCUCGUUAGCUCUCUUUUUUGCCUCUGUUUUUCCUCUGUCUUUGGAUUUUGAUCAGAGCCUCCACGUAUUUGUAGAUGGAUGUUCCAGCUCCAGGAAGCUUCUAUCAGUCGGUCUUUGUAGUUGCUUGUACUUUAGUCGCGGUUGCUUUCAUCUUGUAUCAUAUAAUCAAGUGAAAGAAAGCAUUGUGAAAUCUCUGAUGAGUUCCCAUUUCUGCUCUUGCUAUCCCAGGUCUUCGCUCUCCUUUUUGUAGUCAGGGUUUAAGAUUGUUCUGUUGCAGUAAAUUGAUGCUCCAUUCAUAUAAUUUGUCGUUGAUUUAGUACACAGUUGUACUAAAUAAAAGAUAACUAAUACUCCCUCCGUGGUAGUUUAUAAGUCCGGCACGUGUAUCUAAGUCAUCAAUUUAACCAACUUAAUAAAAGGCAUAUAUUACAAAAAAUAUAUUAUUAGAAAAUUUAGAUGUUCUAUUUUCUAAUGAUAUAAUUUUUAUGUUAAAUAAUAUAUUUUAUAUAAAUUAAAUUAACGACCUAGGUACAUAUGCAUGCCUUAUAAACUGUGAUGGAGGGAGUAUGAAUUGAAGAGACUACCUGAACUUACAAUUCAAUCCGUCUGGUACAUUUGUUAGGAAGAUAUGUAUCAUCCGGGAUCAUCUCUCCCACCAGAAAUAAGCAAAACUCUCGAGAAAUCAUCUCUCCCACUAGAAACAUUUAUGCUAUCUGCCGUGGUUGCCUGUUAUGGCCGCCGCUAUAGCUACUAGGAGAGGUCGCCGCGAAAUCGUUUCUCCCGCCAUUUUAAAUGCACCCACACACUUCAUUUAUCCCCAUUAGUGCUCAUCUAAAUUGGAUAUUUAAUGAAUUUGAUCUUAAAGCUGUCCUAACGUAGUCUUGCUAGUGUUGAACAAUAUUAUAAAGAGACGGGCACACAUUGCCACAUGGGUUCAGCUACCGCCAGGUUAUGAGAACACAAAGUCGAUGCCCACAAAAGUGAUCUAAUUAAUAUACUACCUUCGUCAUGGGUUAAAAGACACAGUUAAAUUUAUGUGUAUUUCCACAAUGGUCAUCAGCUAUUGCAUUGAGGACAGCGAGAUACUUACUGCUGCCAUACUGACCGUUGCCCAUGCUCCCUCUGUGUUCAUGAUAUCCAUGGCCUUGCGAAGUGCUUGUUUUCGAGACAAGAGGAAUUUAGUCAUGGAAUUCUUGUCAUUCUACUAAAUAUUUGUCAAGCAGACAAAGUAACAAGGUUCAUAGUUAACACAGAUUCUUUGGCCGGAAUUUUCAGGGCAAGCCAAGCACAGUCCAGAUCCUGAAGAUGCUACCAAACUUAAGCAAUCGAGCAACAACAGGUAAUGCACUAAUGCAUGAUGGACUGCGUGACCAAUCUACUAGAUGCCCAUUGUCCUUUUUGCGUUCUUCAGACAUCUCCAACGCUGACCCACAAAAUUGCUCCGACAUUUAUACGUACAGAGGGCGGACUAGUCCGUUAAUACAUAUGUCGAAAGUCGUCGUUCAAUGCUGCCCGCGUACAUUUCAACAAGUAAUUAAACUAACUGAAUAAAAUUCGUGCAAACCGAACAGAUUUGAUUUAAGCUUCGGAUAUAAUUCACAUAAAUGGACGUUUUUUGACCGUUUUACUAAAACUAUGAAAAGAACCAAACCCUAUAUCGAGCGACCACCUCGUAAGCAUUGCCACCCUGUCCUACCGCACUGUCAUCGUUGUCCGUGCCAUCCUCCUCGUCGUUGACAAUCUUGUUCGGCGGAUGUCUGCCGCUCCGCCUCCAGUUGCGCGGUGCGGAGGGCCGCCUUCGCAACUAUCGGCAGAGCCCUGACAGUAGCCUUGCCCUUACCAGUGUUGAAGGAGCAGUCAAUAAGGGACAACUUCUCGCCUAUCUUGUCAAUCUCUCCGUCAAGGUGGCGGCGGCGGCGCAUGGUGACUGUCUCCGUGAUGGUUAUGGUGACGGAGUUUUCGAGCGCUUACGCGGCGUCAAGGUCAGGCCGUUGCGGACUCAUUCCGAUGCCACAUUAGUCCUGAGUAAUGCGGAACAGUGAUUGAUAUUGUGCAUGUCGUAGCUAUCAUUUUGCCUCGUCGCGCGCUUCGCCUCCGAAACCACGGUCCAAGAGCCCGAGGUACCCCCGUAACUGCCUCCCCCAAGGUAGUGGAGGAUGCGGCCUCGAGUCUUCGCGACCGUGGGCAUCAGCUCCACUUUACUUGGGUCGCGGUGGCGUCGUGAUGCCGACGAGAGCCAGUCAAUCCAGGCAUAGCUGCUAUGCGGCGAGGGCAACUCCAGCUCAUCCUUCAUGGGUCGGAGGCGCUGAGGAACGCCAGCUCCUGCUUCACACUGACGCCGAUGUGGAAUCCAUGAUUGGCAGCGGGGCCGAUGAAUCGUCCUUCACUUGCAGGAGUGGGGAUGUGGUCUCUCACCUCACACAGAGGCACGGCAAGGACGGUGGCAUCGGGUCCAUCUGAUGGCCCAAUUUGUCGUCCAUCAUAACCUCCUCUGAGAGAAGACGAUGCUGCUGAUGCGGCAGGUCUUCCUCAUCACUAGAGGAGAUGACUUGCUCCUCCUUGCUGGAGGAGCCUGUCGUCAUGGAUGUCGAUAGUCCCGGAGAGCAAGUACGACGAUGCGACAAUCUGCAUGAAGAGAAAAUCCCACCGGGGUUGCAUGCUGGCGCGGAGAACCAAGACUUCAGCAUCGCCGCUGGGCUCGGGAGGAGGAACGGCUCGACGUGUGAGGGAGGAAAAGGACAGUGUUCGGGAAGCAGGAGUGCGGCUAUGUGCGUUACCGACACAUGGCUUACAUAACCGCGGCUAGGCCAGUGAAGGGGUGGUCAUCCCACUUCAAUGCGGCGCACCAGCCGAAGUUGUUCUUGGGACGUGAUGUCGACAUUGAAGCAGCGAGGCCCGACGGGACGUCUGGGCCGCCCUCCCAUCCAUUGAAAUUAGGGCAUCAAUUCCGGCCAUUACAUGCUCUCGACCAACAUGAAUGAGACACGGCAAGUGGCGUAAGCGUUCCAUGGAAAGCGCGGGACAGGUGUGUGGCAUUUUUUUGUGGGAUAGGCCAAUCAGGAGCGGCCAUGGUAGCGGUCCGGACGCCGCAAAGCCACCCCCAACCCCACCACAAUUUGUCUCUCGUUUGCUCGGAAGAACACGUCCAUGCCAUUUUGCGAAUGUGAAAGUUGAUAUAGUAGAUGCACUUAUAGAAUCGAUACAAAUCUGCGUUGGAUAACACAACACAUCCGGACCACAUAGUCUAAACGUAUGCGGGUAGUUCUAUGGUCGGCGUUGAAGAUGCCCUUGAGGCGAAUAUUUUGGUUUUCAAAAUAUUCAACUGUUCAUUGGAGUGGGUCAUGAGUCCUAGAAUGGCCGAGACCGAAAGUUUAACAGUCUAUACAUUGUUCAUCAAUUUGAACAUGCUUUUUCAUGGAAGACCAUUGACCUGGACUGUGACUAGUGCCAGAGUUACUAUGAUAAUUGCUGCAGCUCUCUGAUAGUAAGGGUCGCGACUUAUUUUUAGUUUACGGACCAAUUCAAAAAAAAAAAAAAAACAAGCACACCAUGUCAUCCGUUCCUCCCAAUUUUGUUUAUGUAAAACUCUAAUUUACCAAUCUUAAAGCCGAAGCAGGAAAUGGCAUCAUCAACUCCAUGAAAAUAAAUUAAAAUUGACCUAAAAAAUUUAUGAGCCACAUACCGGCCAGGAAAAAAGAAAGAAAGCACAUGAUCUGGCACGUGGGCGUAGGUGAGUGCAUUACUAGGUAUAUAUGAAAAAACAAAUGGAGACAAUAACAUGCCCUUUGCUGCUGCUUUCCAUAUGCCACUGCCUUUAUUCUCCUACAAGUCUGGUGGCAUCUGCUGCUCUCUCCCUCCUCUACUAAUUGGAGAUGCCGAAAUGAUUGUUCAGCCACACCAUGAUAUGCUUGAACAGAAAGAAACCAAAGGGUGCAUUUUUUGGUAGAAAAGAGGUAGCCGGGAAUGGAUUGGGGACAAAUUGCAAGGUGCCACCAAGGAUGGACAUGAAUGAGCACAAAAAAGUUAGUUAGAUCUCAGUCUCAAGUCAAUUGUCCACUGAAGGUCCUAAUUAUUGUAGAUUGUAGAUUGAUGCCACCAAGUGGUUAAUUUUUAGUUUUCGCCCGCCCAAGAUCUUGAUUAGUGAUCCUAUGUAAAUAAGAUCAUCUGUUGUGGAGAUCGAACAAUUUGAUUUUCCAUGAUGGAGAUUUCUUUGCAUAUUCCAUGCAGCAUGGAUUGGAUCAAAUUGUGGGUAGGGAUCGCCUGAGCCAAACUAGAAAAGGCUGGAGCAAUAUUCGGCAAAAUCGAUGCUGUCACUAUAAAUAGUGUAGUGCUUUCCGAGCUCUCCUUCAGUAGUUAAUUUACUACUCAAACUUUUUCAGUUAUUAUCAGAAAGUAUUUUUAAGCCCCGGCAUAAAGCACACAUUGUGGAUAUGUACUGUAAAUGCUUGUGGCCACAAUUAAACUUAUGGAGUCACAAGUAGGAUACAGGUACUGGUAGGGCAUCUAUUAUAGUUAUGUUAGUUAGUUUGUAAUGAAAAGUAAUGUCAUACGCCCGUACUUCUCCAAGGUCACUUGCCAAAAGGAAAUACUUUUUUUACAAAAGCACCCAUCUAACUAACUUGUGUACAUGCACUAGGAAUGAUUCUUAUUGGCACAAGUGUUCGUAGGAUAUCGUGUUUUGGUCGAUGAAUAAAGCUCCAUCAUCAAUCCUAACAAUUCUCAAGUUGCUUUUUAUUUUCUCGUGCAAGAUGUCGAAUAUAAAUCCUAACAAUAUAGAAUCAUGCAAGUGGAGUUCUUAUGAUGGAGAUUUAUGUUGUAAAGUUCUGCACAGGAGAAUUCAGAUCAAACUCCACCUACUGAUUGCCCCGGCCUAACAAGGGAAAGCUGUAAAAUCCUGAAAUAGCUAGUACUUUUUUAGAACAUGGUAGAACGAUUACUCUCAAGGAGUAAAUGUUUAAUGCUUUCUUAAAGUGUAAUUUACAAAUCUAUAUCAGCUAAUUAAAGAUCGUACAAGUAAAGCUCGUAAAAGACAAACACAUUUUAUAAACUUUCAAGCUUUUACAAUCAUGUUAACUAAAAAAACAUGUGGGAACUAUUAAAAGUUAUGGAACUAUAACCAUUUUCAUUGAUUAUGCAAGUUUCACUAAAUCAUAUGGUAGUUAGUGAUGCAGUCAUGCGGAAUUAAGUUAUACUACCCGACUUUUUUGGCAUAAGUGCUUUUUUCAAAAAGGAGAGUGCCCUAGCCUCUCCAUCACAAGAUGCACACAACCAUUUUUAUUAAACUUGAAACAAGUCAAGUCACCGAGUGCCAGUAAAUAGGACAAAUAAAGAGAAAACACGACCACAACCGGUCAUAUUAGAGUUUACAUAGCUCAUCCACAUAAUGAACGAGUCCUCGCCAGUCAAAACCGUAGAAUAAACCUGCGCAACCAUUUCCAGUCUAAUCCACCCAAAGGCCAGAAGUGCUUGCAAGUCCACAUGCUGCAGUGAUGACCACAUACGGAUUAAAGUUAUAUCCCAGUAGAUAAUGUGCAAGAAAUUAGGAGUAGAGGAUCAGCUAAAAACAAAGUCAUUCUGGAUUAAAUGUUGCCGAGAGAAUGGCACAAACUCCAACACGGAUUUGGCCAUUCAACUUGUGAUGAAUACAACCCAGCCAAUUCACACACAAAUUUGAAAUACUCAUUGGUGUUGCUUAAUUAUAAGUGACAUGAAUUGUGCAGUUGAUCAAGGUAGUAAUUCGAUUUUUAAUGAAUUCGAUAUUAAACUGCCCUAACGUAUUCUUGUUAGAAUUAAUCCGAGGCACUUCGUCGAUCUACCGAGGACCAAGCAAUCACACAAGCACGACUCCGAGAUUUGUUAACGAGGUUCAUCGAUAUGGCUACAUCCCCGGGGCAUGACUAUGGACGCUCCUCCCCAUGACACCGUCACAAUACCGCACCUCGACAGCCCGGGCGCCGGCACACGCCGCCGGCUCCUCCGCGUACCAGUGCUACUAUGUUGGCAUAGGUUACAUCGUGUGUCUACCCCGCUAUAUAUGAGAGGCCUAGGAUACAAGUGUCUUAUCAGGACACGACCCCAUAUCCUGUCUAAACACAAUACUACUCAGAGUCCAACUGUAACCUACCGUGUACACAAUAUUCGACACAACUCUAACAAACUCCACCUUGGUGAAUAUUCUCCACCAUCUUGAAUUCGUCUAUGCGUCAAACUUCCAUGUACAUUGGACUUGAGCUUAUCUAUGAGCACCGCUGCUACUCCAAAGACUUCAUGUGACUCCACCUUCAACUUGUAGUUCCUUCUUUUUCAGACCAUAGUCAACGCUCGAAUGAAAUUAAGCUCCACAUUACUCUAGCUGAGCUCCCAACUUCUAGAGUAUCCAACACCAUCACACACCGAUCACUGACCUGCGUGAAAGUGAACAACUCAUAUUGGGUGUCGCAGAUAAGAGUUACCUGAACUCAACAUCAUCGCUCUUCCUUGACCGCCCGUCUGAAACUUGAAGGAAUUUCACCAUUGCUUCUAGUCAUCCCGAGUCAAAUUCGCAGUUGCCUCACCACAUGUAUGACCACCAGAGCCCUGGCCUAUCUCCAUGUCCCGUGCGUAUCGCACGCCUCUCCGCUAUUACCGCAUCGACCCUCCGCUGUUCCGGUCGAGUCUCAAGGGUCGCGAACCCACACCGCUCAACCCCCACUGCAGAGUACCACCGAUCAUCACCGACCGAUGACGAGUUUCACGCUUCCAUCAGACCACUGGGCUCCAGUCCAAAUUGCGUGUCACUCGCUUUUCCCGCUGAAUAGGCUGCGAUCUCCGGAUCCUUACACCGUAGCCUCUCAAUCCAGCUCCACCUUCAACAUGAUUCCAUGCUAGAUGAUCAGUCCACCCCGCGCCCCGUCGACUUCAAGCUCCGUGUGUACACCACCUUGAAUCAACCCCGCGCUAUAGUCUUGUCGAAGCCACACAAGCCCUAGAGCCCGCGCCGCGUGUUUCCAUGCCCAGAAGUCGGUCACCAUCAGCAUCACGCUCCUAUGUCGUCGUUGCCGAUCCCACCACCGUCUUCUGCUUUGACCGACAUCCCCGUCGAUCCGUCAGACUAACUAGUCCAACCAAGCCGACCUUAUCCGGCUAAACGACCCGCUCCAGGCUUCCAGAUCAUAUUCCACGAAUUUUCAGCCAUCGCAUGAUAAUUCCAUCUUAGCUGACGUGACUUUCCGCAGCACCUUCAAGCAUCCCUGUUGUGCCACUUGAACUUCUCACGAUGCAAUAGUACAUGAAGCAAACCGCGUCGUCACCUCCCAGUACUAAUAGCAAUUUAACCAAACAAUUGUUGCUUUCACGUGGUGCAACUUCUAGGCUCAACUCACCGAUGCUCAGUAUUUGCUUUGUCCCGUCCCUGCCUUCCAACGAAUGCACAUCAAUCGAUGGAUUUUUUUUCCGCUGAAUCGAUCUGCUGCCUGUUUUUGUUUCCAAAACAAUCCCGUUUUUGGUUUUGCAUACCGUACAUGAGCUGUCCAAUCGAGCGCAUGAUCUGCCUGCAGCCUUGUACGCUCCUGGGUCGCUGCCCACGCGGGCUCCCGCAGUCAGUGUCGUCGGUCGAUCGACCUGCUGUCUGCCUGCCCCGUGAGCGGCGCGUCGCCGCUGCUUCAUGUACGCUCGCCCGAUCUUAUCACGCACGUCGCGUCUCUCUGACCUUGCUUCUUGAAUCUCGCCGACCUGUGCUGCUUGAGAAAAUUUCAUCGAUCCUCUUAGCUUUUCCGUCGACUACCACGAGAUCGUUCCCGGUCGCGUGACACGCCAUGGAUCGAACUAAUUUCUUUCGCAGACUUCGGCAUCAUCACCUCUAGAUCAACGACCACAAUCUCAAAUCGAACCUUGGCUCUGAUAUCACUUGUUAGAAUUAAUCCAAGGCACUUCGUCGAUCAAGGACCAAGCAAUCACACAAGGACGACUCCGAGAUUUGUUAACGAGGUUCAUCGAUAUGGCUACAUCUCCGGGGCAUGACUACGGUCGUUCCUCCCCGUGACACCGUCACAAUACCGCACCUCGACAGCCCGGGCGCCGGCACACGCCGCCGGCUCCCCCGCGUACCUGUGCUACUAUGUUGGCAUAGGUUACAUCGUGUCUACCCCGUUAUAUAUGAGAGGCCUAGGAUACAAGUGUCCUAUCAGGGCACGACCCCAUAUCCUGUCUAAACACAAUACUACUCAGACUCCAACUGUAACCUACCGUGUACACAAUAUUCGACACAAUUCUAACAAUUCUUGCUCGCGUUGAAGAAUAUUAUAAAGAGACGGUACCAUAUGAAUCUAAUUAAUAACCCGAUCAAACACAGUGUGUUUAUGUUUAUGUUUGUAGCAUCUAUGCCACAUGAGUUCAGCUACCGCCAGGUCACCAGAACAGCAAGUCUGGUUCCUGAUAAAUGAUGUAAUUAAUAUUUGAGACCCCGUACCAAUUGCUACAUCCAACAUCAUUAAAAGGGGACCUGUUUAUUGCCUAUACCAAUAGCUAUAUGAAUGCACUCGCAUCACCCAUAUUCUGAAGCUCACUGGUAGUUUUGUAUCGUGACCAAUUUUUACCUUUAUGAUCGGUUAAAUAGAAGAAAUCAAUAGUCCAAUUUCUGAAAAUACUGGGAUGGAGUUUCAUCUUGGACUCUAGAUGUAGGAGUCAGAGGCACCAGGAAGUUAGAUCCUGCUACGAGGAGCGGACCGGGAAUGCUCGUCCGGCUAUGAUGGAUUUGGACUGAAGCGGAGCUGAGUAGUCUCUCGUGGGUGAGGACGACAUAUGCUCCUGGGCUACUGCCUACUCGUCUAUUGGUCUGUUGGCCUCGGGUGGGCUGCUGCUUACUCUUUCAAGCAUGUACCAGCAUUUUUAGUCAUAUAUGUGUAUGUAUGAUAUGUUUUAGAAUCAUUUUCAGUUAUAUAUGUGUAUGUACGAUAUGUUUUAUAAAAAAUUAACGAAAAAGGAUUUUUCCCCGCUUUGUAUUACAAAGCAAUCAACCAGAACAUCAAAUGACCCCCCUAUCUCUCUUGGGCCUUUGUUAGUAACGUGAAGAAUCAGCCCAUCUGCUCAUAGUCCAUUGGCUACAGGCACAAAAUCCACAAACUGCCCAGCCUAAUCCACGAACUGGCCAUAUCCAGGAAUACCUUUGUUAGUUGCAGAACGGAGCCACGAUUACGCAGUACGUACGCACAUAUUGUCGCCUCGUUUCCAAGCUGCCGCUACGAUCGAGACGGAUGCCUAUUUCGAUCGGAUCUCUCAUCUCUCCAUCGCGCAUCUAUAGAGUAGCAUAGAAGGGAAGCGGAUGCCGCCACGUGGGACAUGCUGGUGUUGAACUAUUGAUGCACGGAGAUGAUGCCGUUUGCCAGCAGAUCGGGCACACGGAUGAGCAGCAAGCCAGCAACAACAUAAGGGGAGAAGGUAGUUGAUUUUCACAUCAGAUUAGUUGGUGCCUUUAGAAAGUACUAUAGAAGUAUAAUCACACAGACUAUAGUCAUUAAGAACAACUAAGGUAGGUUCAAACAAGGGGAUGAGGUAGUUGAUUUUCACAUUCUCACAUUCCCAUUUAUUUACUUCUGCUUAUGUAAACAUCAUGAAGAAGAACAAGAGCAGAAUUAAUUCAUAUUUUUUCAAACCAGUAGGUUCAAACUCUCAGCCAUCAAAACCAGGGACGGAUUCAUGGGGUCAAAGGGGUGCCAGUCUCCCUAUAACACUCUUCUUUAUUUGCUUCCACAUAAUCGCAUGCUUUUCCCAGUUAUGGUUUUGGGACUGAGUUAAAUCAGUGAGGUCCAUCUCCCCGAUUCCAAAAAUAAUAAUGAGAUAAGGUAAUGUAUUAUAUACCCAUGUUACAUUACUACAAAUUAUUAUUUCAUGAAAUCAUCUUGUGUUUCUAGCGUUGUGAGUUUAUUUUGUCAUUUAUCAAUUUUAUUUAUGUUUUGAUCAUGUGAUUGCAAUGAGUAAAGAAGAAAGGGCAUGUUUGCACCAUUCCAUCUCCAUUAGACCAUACCCUAAGAUUUUUUUUACAACAUAGCCGUUGCUCAUGAGACUUUGUUACAACAUAGCCGUUGCUCCGUCCCUGCUAUUUGCUCAACAUCGAACCAGGUUAUAAAUAUGUAUAUUAUUUUCUUUCAAAGAAAGAUUCACCCUGAUAUCCAUUAGAAGAAGCAAGAAUUGGGUACAAUGUCUCGAGAUGAAUUUGUAUUACGAAAUGCUUUUUUUAACAAGCGGCACUUAUGUUUCUGACGCCAUAAUUGAUGUUUUUUUCCUGGAGUGUAAUGAGAUCAUGCCUCCACUGAAGGUUAAAAUAUUUUUUUGAACGGUAUGAGUUGCAUGUAUUAAUUAUGGUCUGAAAACGAUAUGUGUCAUGGUCUUCCCUGAAAAGCAUGUGCAAAUGUAGAAAAUGUGAAACUAAUAUUUUUCAAUACAUUCUCAUAUCAUGAGUCAUGAAUACGUCCGGUGAAUUAAUUGAUUAUUCACAUAACCAAAAUAUCUCCCUGAAAACAGAGCAUUGGAAAAUAGAACUAUCAAUGGCUUAGUUUGCUUGAUUACAAAGCUGUCUGAGGCGAGCCAAAAUGGUCAAAGCUGAGCUCUAGGUCACCUCACGACAAUUCGAACUGAACCUGGUUUCAUACGUUGCCAUCACCUUUUGCAACCGAUAAUGAAACACUACCAUUUUCAAACACAUUCUGUUUUUCAGGAUUUUACAACUUACCCUAGGUCGGGCCGUGCAAUGACUACGCAGCAUUUGAUCCAUACCCUCAUUCAUAGAAUAAACAAGAGGAAUCUUCAUCAUAAGAAAUCUGAUUGCUAGAUCUGCCAGGGAAAUGAUCUUACUCUCACAGGAUUUAAGAUCGAAAUCUUGCACAAGAGAAACAAAAGGCAACUUACGAAUUGUUAAGAUUGAUGAUCUUUUCUCCUGUGAACACUUGUGCCAAUAACAAUCGUUCUUAGAUCAUGUACACAAUUGCUCAUUUAGAUGUGUACUUUGGUAAAGAAAUGAUUUUCUUUUGGCAUGUGAACUUGGAGAAGUGUGGAUGUACAACAUAACUUUUCAUUACAAACUAACUAUCAUAACUAUAGUAGAUGCACUAUAAGAACAUAUAUCAUUUGUAUCCUACUAGCGGUUCCAUAAUUUUAAUCGUGGUUACAAGCUUUGAUAGUACAUAUAGACAAAGUGUGCUUUUAUGUUAGGGGCUUAAAAAAUACCCUUUGAGAAUAACUGCAAAAGUUUAUGUAAUAAAUUAAUUAACUUAAGAGCUCAGAAAGAACUAUACACUAUUUCAAUAACGGACAUCUUGUCUUUUGUGGAAUAUUGCUCCAGCCUUUUCUAGUUUGGCUAAGGCGAUCGCUACCCACAAUUCAAUCCAAUUUGUGCUGCGUGGAAUAUACGAAAGAAAACUCCAUCAUGAAAAAUCCAAUUUACAUAGGAUUAACGAUUAACAUGUUUGCUGAGCAAUAACAAUAAAUUGCUCAUGCCCUAACAAUCGGCACAAUAAAUUUCUCCAUGUAGGUCAUUAUAGCCUAUAAAAGGUCCCCGUCUCUUAUAUUUCACGUGCUUCAUGGACGUACACUCUCUAAUGCAGCGAAGCGGGAAACAAAUGAAUCUGAUUGCAAAAUUUUCUCCUCAAUAAGAAAUAUUGGAGCAUGUAUAAUUAAUCAACAAGAAAACAGCUCGAGAACACAAGCUAUUUAAAGAAAUACUGGGCAAUGUUCGGGCCAAUUUCUCCGGCAAUAUACAAAUGAAAUCUUCAUUAAGAAAUCCAACUACUAUAUCUCCCACGGGAAGUGACCAUAUUUUUAUAGGAUUUAUAAUUAACAUCUUUCACGAACAAACUAAAAAGGAACUUGGAGAUAGAUUUGAGAUACAUGAUGGGAUAUAUCAUGUGAACACUUAUCAACACGUGGGGCGGCAAACGGAAAAAAGGGAUCGCUCCGACGACGUGCCCCGCAGACGCGUCACGGAGGUUACCCAGCCGCAGCCGGAGAAGCGUCUCCUCAUCCAUCAUCUACCCUCGCCGCGGGUCCGCACCGCCAGGCAAAGCCUAACUGGAGCUGGCGGCGGCGGUGCCCUCUCUCGUCUCCGUAUAUGGGGGCUCGGCGUGGGACGACGAUCCCGAGCGGAGGCACGGAGCUGGUCUAGGGCACGGUGGCGCUGGGCAAAGCUCGGAGGCGGCCGCUCUUCGGUUCUUCGUCCCUGUCGUGGAGGGAUAGUCGCGGCGACAACUCUCUCCUAGGUUGGCGGCGGUCAACGGCGGCACUGCCUAGAUCCGGACCGUCGGGACCCACUGGAGUCCUGCGGUGCUCUGCCAUGUUGUUGAUCGUACUCCAAAACUUUGUUUUGCUUCAUGUCGACCUCCUUGAUCUGGACACCGAUGGGUUCUGGUCUUUCCUUCAGAGCUCUCAGCUUCUGGGGCAUGGCACCAUUGGAUAUCUAGAUCAUAAUUGAUCCGGUCGGAUGUGCCCUUAUCUUCGGCUAGAGAGGUUUCAUGAUGACGUGGCGCGAAGCUUUGCUGCCUUGCCAGUGUCAUGGGACAUGUCUAAGUAUAGAUUUCCACGACAUUGAUAAUGAUGAAAAAAGUCACGAUGGCUGCGAUCGGAGGUUUGUAACGGCAGAGAGGAGUUUUUGUUGCGUUGAAGAUUGGCGACACAUGUUUUUUCAUGUGUGUCAUGUGUUGAAUACUUGCAGUGGUGGUCCUGGCUAGAGGGGGCGGCAACUCAGGUGGACAACAUUUUUCGGGAUGCUUCACGAGUACCAAGGUCUGACCUUCAUUGGUUGUACCUGGCAAAAGUCUUGCCAAGACAUUGUUUUAGGGAUCUUGGACUCUCUCCAUGGUGAAAACUCAAGAUCCUUGAUCGGACGAUGACAACGCUUGUGCAUUGUUUCUUUCUUGGAGGUAUCGCUUCUGGAGAACCUCUUUUGUAGUCUGGUUGUUGUCCUUGGUGGUGAUUAGAGUGUUUUUGUUGUGAGUGUUUCACCGCUGCAACGUGGUCUUUGUUUUUUAUUUCUCUCUUUUCUAUUUUCGUUUUUGGCUGUGUGCAUCUUUAAUGUCUUUCGAUAUCUUGUGGGUGCAUAGGCUGGAUGCAAAUGAUAUCUUCGUAAUAUUAAUAUAUUCCCUCUGUCGAAAAUGAGAACACUUGUCCUAGUAAAAACUGUUCUCAGAGCAUGCACAUAGGUGCUUAAUUAGAUAAGUGCAUGUGUUAAAAAUGUAGUCCUUAUGUCAUGUGUGUUUGUGAAACUAGGGGUGUACAACUGAACUUAUUACUAACUACCAUAUCUUAUGAAGAAACAUAGAUACACCAUCAAAAUAGUGAUCACCAUAUCCUACUAGCGACAAAUAUUGACAAGAUGAUUGCUUCAGACUCAUUAAUGUAUUUUUUUGAAAGGUUUUGUGAAUAAUCAAUAAUAUAGUUGCAAGUAUCGACUAGAUGCAGAAGCCGGGGGUCAUCCUCUUUUUUCUUAAGAAACAUAUCUUACUAGUGGUUCCAUUAUUUUAAUACUGCUCACAUAUUUUUAUAGUACACGGACCAUUGUAAAAUAGCAGAAAACUUUCAACAUGUCUCCUUUUGUGGCCAUUAAUUAGGUGGUGUACGUAUACAUAAAGCUUCAUUAACUGAAGAAGUUUGUGUACUAGUUAAUUAACGGAAGAGGAGCUCAUAAAGCACUACACUAUUUUAAACAAAGGGACAAUUUCUCUUUGGAGAAUAUUACUCCCUCCGUUCCACAAUAUAAGUCUUCUUAGAUAUUUCACUAGAGGACUAUAUACGGAUGUAUAUAGACAUACUUUAGAGUGUAGAUUCACUCAUUUUGCUUUGUAUGUAGUCUCUUAAUGAAAUCGCUUAAAAGACUUAUAUUUAGAAACGGAGGGAGUACACCAAACGUUUCUAGUGUAGCCCAGGCAAUUGCUACUCAAAAUUCAGUCAUAUUUCUCCCGCGCCGAAUAUUAAAAAAAAAUCUUCAUCAUGGAAAAACCAAUUGUUCCAUCUCGACAGGAGAUAACCUUAUUUACAUAGGACUACCGGUUAAGAGUUUGACCGAGUACAACAGAAAUUAACUAAUUGAUACUACAUUUUUUUUAAAAGGAGGAACGAGCCCCCGGCCUCUGCAUCAAUCGAUGCAUGCAGCCAUAUUAUUAAAUAUCCAAAGUAACAAGAUAGUUCGAGACAAGCCUGAAGGCUGAAGAUAAAAUGCUAAACAAACUCUUAAGAAGUACACUCCUCCGGCGUAACUAAUAACAGACUACGAUGCCUAUACACCUAGUCUAUUACUAACACGCCAUCCAAACCGGUUGAAGAUAACCCGUGCGGCCGUCUCCCACCGGUUGCACCCAGUACCCAUAAGCUCCCUGUUGUCCACAAGACUGAGUGAUGACCACGUACGGAUCCAAGACGUUGCUCUGAAAAUGACCUGCAAAAAAUUGUUGAAUUUCUGACCAUUAAAUAUUAUGUCGUUUCUGGUAUUCCAUAUAGCCCACAAAAGAGCACAUAUCCCUAUUCUAAUAAGUCUAGAUAAUUGAACGUCCACUCCAUUGAGCCACGUUGUAAACAUUGAAUUGAUGCAUGUAGGUGGGAUCAUAUUAAAUGCUAUGUGGAUAGUGCGCCAAAGUAAUUUUGCGAGGGGACAAUCCAAAAACAGGUGUCUGAUAGUUUCAUUUUGAUCACAAUAACAGCAAUUGGAUCUACCUCUCCAACUACGCUUAAUUAAAUUAUCUUUGGUUAAUACCACACCUUUGUGUAAAAACCACAUAAAUUUUUUUAUCUUUAACGGCACCUUAAUAUCCCAGAUAUGCAACGAUCUAGCUAAGGGUCCGGAAUUCACCAAAUCUGUGUACAUGGAUUUAACUGAAAGUACCCCAUUAACAGUUAAAGUCCAUCUAACACUGUCCGACUGAUCAGAUAGUUGUACCUGCAUAAGUCUUCUUACGAGAUGCAUCCAUGCCUCCCAACGUGCGCCUACUAGAGCGCGCCUGAAGUGCAUGUUUAUAGGUAUCGAUUGUAAGACUGUGGACACAUAGUCUUGCUUACGUUGCGUAAUGUUGUAGAGCAUGGGAUAUUGUAAAGUAAGUGGAGAAUCCCCAAGCCAAGUAUCUUUCCAAAAUCUUGUUGAGGUACCAUCCCCUGUAAUAAAUUUCACCCUCUUAAAGAAAUUAAUCUUUAUCCUCAUUAACCCUUUCCAGAAAGGUGAGUCAUUGUGUCUAAUUAUAGCUUGAGCUAGAGUUCUUGAUGUAAGAUACUUAUUUCUCAAAAUUUGAAUCCACAUACCCUCUAUCUCUGUGGAAAUUCUAUAUAACCAUUUGCUGAGCAGACAUUUGUUCUUUACUUCUAAAUUUUCAAUGCCCAAACCCCCCUGGUCUUUGGGUCUACAAAUCAUAUCCCAGCGUGCUAAUGUGUAUUUUUUCUUAUUCUCAUCAUUUUGCCAAAAAAACGAGAUCUAUAAAAAUCCAGUCUUUUCCGUACCCCUACAGGUAUCUCGAAAAAAGACAAAAGAAACAUUGGUAGGCUUGUUAAAACAGAAUUUAUUAAUACCAAUCUUCCUCCAUAUGACAUAAGCUUGCCCUUCCAGCAGCUUAGUUUCUUUUCAAACCUUUCUUCAAUACAUUUCCAUUCUUUAAUUGUUAACCGUCUGUGGUGAAUAGGUACCCCAAGAUAACUAAAAGGUAGAGAACCCAUCUCACAACCAAAUAGCUGUCGAUAAGCGUGUUGCUCUUCUCUUGCCUUCCUAAAACAUAAGAGUUCGCUUUUGUUAAAAUUAAUUUUCAACCCCGAUAGUUGUUCAAAAAGACAUAAAAUUAAUUUCAUAUUCCUCGCUUUCUCCAUGUCAUGUUCCAUGAAAAUGAUUGUAUCAUCCGCAUAUUGUAGAAUGGACACACCUCCAUCUACGAGAUGUGGAAUGAGACCACCUACUUGUCCUUUCUCUUUGGCUCUUUCAAUAAGUAUUGUCAACAUGUCUGCUACUAUAUUAAAGAGUAUUGGAGACAUUGAAUCCCCCUGUCUUAGCCCCUUAUGUGUUUGAAAAAAAUUGGCAAUGUCAUCAUUAACUUUGACUCCGACACUCCCUUUCUGAAUAAACGUGUCAACCUGCUGUCUCCACUUUUCAUUAAACCCUUUCAUUCGUAAGGCUUGCUGAAGAAAGGACCACUUAACUUUAUCAUAAGCCUUUUCAAAAUCCACUUUAAAUAUAACUCCAUCUAGUUUCUUUGUGUGGAUUUCAUGAAGCGUUUCGUGCAAAACAACAACACCCUCCAAAAUGUGUCGCCCAGGCAUGAACGCUGACUGUGUUGGUUGGACAAUUGAAUCGGCUAUCUUUGUUAAUCUAUUGGUGGCUGUCUUAGUGAAAAUCUUGAAACUAACAUUUAGUAAACAGAUAGGUCUAAAUUGUUGGAUACGCAUGGCAUCCACAUUUUUUGGCAACAACGUUAUUGUUCCAAAGUUAAGGUGAAACAGCUGUAACCGACCAUUAAAUAAGUCAUGAAACAUAGCCAUUAGAUCCCCCUUAAUAACAUGCCAACACUUUUUGUAAAAUUCUGCAGGAAACCCAUCUGGUCCCGGUGCUUUAUUGUGUUUCAUUUGUACUAUUGCCUCAUAUACCUCUUGCUCUGUGAAUCUAGCGGAUAGAACCUCAUUCUCCUGCUCAUUUAGUUGAGGAAUAUCCUGAACAUUGGUUUCAUCCAGAUAGAUCAUAUUCUCCUCUGGUGCACCAAAGAGACUCCUAUAAUAUUCUGAAAUAUAUACCUUUAGAUUUUCAUGUCCUAUUAUAGUUCCCUCUUCUUGCUCUAGCUGAGUAAUAAUCUUCUUUCGAUGUUUGCCAUUCGCAAUCAUGUGAAAGAACUUAGUAUUAUCAUCCCCAUGAACCACGUUCAUCACCUUAGCUCUUAGUGCCCAUUUCAUCUCCUCUUCUCUCAAUAAUUUUUGCAAUCUAAUCUCAGCAUCUGUUUUGGUAUUCCUAUCAAUAGAAUUUAGUUGCGCUGACUCAGCUUUGACGUCAAGUUCAUCAAUCAGCUUCGUUAGUCUUUCUUUUUCUUUCUUAUAAAUACCACUUUGAUUUUUCGCCCAUCCUCUAAGAACUCGGCGCAAAUUUCUAAUCUUGUUUUGCCAAAUUUCGACAUUGGUGGAUCCACCUAAGUGUGUACCCCAUUCCCUUGUAAUUAGGUCCAUGAACCCUUCUCUUUCAAACCAGCUUAGUUCGAACGAGAAUACAUUCUUGUUGCCCCUAUGAUUGGCCUCCCCUGAGUCAACUAGAAGAGGUGUGUGAUCUGAGAUUGCCCUCUGUAAUGCUUGUACCGUGACUAAUGGGUAUUUUUGUUCCCACUCAACACUAGUAAGAACCCGAUCCAACUUUUCAUAUGUUGGUAUCGGUAAAGAAUUUGCCCAAGUGUAUUGUCUACCAGAGAGAUGAAUCUCCCUUAGGUUUAGACUCUCAAUAACCAUAUUAAACAUUGUUGACCAUCGUGUAUCGAAGUUGUCGUUAUUUUUUUCGUCCUGUCUACGAAUGAUAUUAAAAUCUCCCCCCACCAUAAUUGGUAGUGUUUCAUCUCCACAGAUUCUCACUAGAUCUGCAAGAAAAUCAGGCUUGAACUCCAAUUGCGCCGCCCCAUAGACAGCAACUAGAGUCCACUUAAAACCAUCAGCUUUCGACCUUACACGAAAUUUGACGGCGAACUCACCAUAAACCACACUCAUCACUUCUAGAGUUUCGCAUUUAACCCCAAGUAAGAUCCCACCUGAUCCUCCCCUUGGUGGUAAACAAUGCCAAUCAAAAUCAACCCCUCCUAAUAAACUAUUUAAAAAUUGGGUUGUGAAAUUAUCCCUCCCAGUUUCUUGUAAAGCCAUGAAAUCCAGUUUAUAUUGUAUCGAUGCUUCUCUAAGGAACCUUUUUUUAGCCAAGUCCGCGAGACCUCUGCUAUUCCAAAAAAUCUCUUUCAUAUUUCAUCAUGAAAUUUUUUCUUUUGUUUAACUCUCGCACUCCUCCUAAUCGCUGAUUCAGGAUACACCUUCCUUUUCCAAGGUCUCCUCGUUAUUUCGUGAAUACUUUUAAAAUCAUUAUGUGUAUCUAAAGGUUGUGGAUGAUUAUUCACAUCUGAAGAGGCCAUAUACCCCUCCAAACCCAUAUCAUCCACGUCGUCUACUUCCCCGUCUAUAUGAAAAAUGUUAUCACAUAGAGUUUGAAGUCCAGCACCUCCUAAGUCACUCAUAUCCGAAUCAUUCAUAGGUUUAACCGCUGCUAGAUUAUUGAUAAACUCUAUUGUUCUGUCCACUUCUAAAUCAAGAAUAUCAUUGAUGGAUUUAGCUAUAUUUUUACUAGUCGUACCCAUAGAAACUCCUAUGUCACUAGCAUUAUUCAAGAUUUCAGAUUCGGAUAAUUUUAAAAUAGAUGCAGUUUGAUCAAUAGACAAACCUGAAUUUUUUUCAGCAUCUCGUAGUUUUGCAGCUCGCAUGGCACGCCCUAUCGACAUCUCAUCAGCAUCAGGCUUCUCCUGGAUGCGUUGACUGAAACGUCUAUGACAUGAAGCAGGAUCCGGGAUCCCCCCAAAUGAGAUCACAUCAUCAUUAGUAAUCUCAUUGUGGGUCUUCCCUGUUAGCAUAGAAUCAACAUGCUGGUGAGAAAGUGUUCCUUCAACAAUGUUAUCGUACUUAGAAGAUAUAUUUUGCUGCUUACUGUUGGCGAAGCUAUGAGGAGAUACAGGAGUAGAAGGCCGACUUGCCUCCUUCUUGCUAUCCCGCAUGAUCGAAGUGACAUCCCUGUCAGUAGGGAAUGUCUUAGAAAUUGGACAGCAGUCCUGCUGCGUCAUAUGCAUAGGCUCAGCCCUCCUAGGCGGCUGUACUGCCAAGGAUGUUUUCCUGAUCUCCUUAGUAAUCAAAUUCGUGUCUUCUUCCAGCCUAGAUGUAUGCAUAGGCUCAGCCCUCCUAGGCGGCUGUACUGCCGAGGAUGUUUUCCUGAUCUCCUUAGUAAUCAAAUGCUUGGCUUCUUCCAGCCUAGAUGUGGAAACCGAUCUUUGGAUUGACACAAAAGGAGGUUGCUCAUUCGCCUCGUUUUGACCAAACUUGCUGCCAAGCUUAAAUGGUGUACUGGGGACAUCAAAAGAACCAAACCGUAGUGUCUCCAUGGGUACUUUUGAUGUGGAAGAUGCUCCCCCAAUAAGUGGUUUCUCAUUAUUAGAAGAGGCCUGAGGAUUAUUGUUAUCUCUGAACUGAUCAGAGUGUUGAUCAUUCGCAUCCUCAUGACCUUUGUCCCUAUCCUCCCCAUCGGCCAUAAGGGUAUCAGCAUCAUUUGGCUCAUUUUGUGCUAUCUUCUCGACCUCGAUCUCAAGGUCAUAAUGCACGCCAUCAUAAGACCAUGGAGCAAAAUCUGGAAUCUGGUCAACAUCGAGCACCAUUACAAGCAAUCUGGCUAUCCCCCUUUUGCGUGUAAAGGGCAUAUCUACUUUCUCAGUCUUCCCAAUCAACGAACCAAGACUCCAUACGAUUAGGAAAUCAUUAAGCAGAAUUUCUGGAAUACCUUCAAACCGAAUCCAUACCUUCUGCAACCUAGUACCCUGCGGUGCUGGUUUUAUGCAUUCCUCAAACUCAAGUAAACACUUGCUGCCACUAACCUUACUCAUCCCGAAAGUGAGUAGACGUUGAAGAUCCUCUCUUCUAGGAAACUCCACUUGGUAAGUAUUUUGCUCCACCUUUAUUGGUUCCCAAUUGUAUGUCUCCGAAACAAGCCUUCUCAUCUGUUGAGAAACUUGCUCAGCAGUCAAAUCCCCAUUCGUAACUUUGACGAGACCCGUUCUUGAGCUCUCUAGACGAGGUGGAGUUAGAACUGAACUGGAACCCGGUGUUUCAAAAAACAUUAGUUUGCUAUGGCAUACCCCAUAGAUGCUCAUGACAGGCUUAGGAGCUAAAAGUAAUGGGCACGCCGCAUCGAUAUGCCCAGGCUUUUGACAGAUAUCACACAAAUAUGUAAUACAAUCCACAACAAAGUGUCCAGGUAUCCCACAUCUAUAGCAUGUCAAUUUUUCUUUUUUUUCUGGCCGCCUUGUUAGCUCGUGCUACUUCCCUGUCCUCCGUCGUUAUUUUCUGUGUGGGCGGGAUGCCAUCUUCCCCUCCAUCUUCUUGGGUUACUUCCUUCCAUAUCGGCCCAGAGUUGUUCCUCCCAUAAUUGCGUAUCCCGCCCCCGCCUCUUUGCCGGAAAUUUCCGCGAGCUCCUUCGACAAAAUUGCCUUGGGGUGGCUGGAAGGGGCGAUGCCAUUGAUUGUAUCCUCCCCCAGGACCUCCUCCGGCAAUCCAAUUAGACCGGCCAGCACCUGGUCCACCAGGAUAAUCGUUCCACUGAUUUGCAUGACCUCUGUGCCCAUGGAAUCCACCUCCGCCACCGCGAUUAUGAACUCCCGGACCACCUCUUCCAACACCAGCAGACCCACGUCCCUGACCAGCAGUGACCGUAGGUCGGUUCUCCCUCACGCCAGCGACCGCUGGAGCAGAUACCCCAGCAUCAGGCCCUGCGGCGGCAGGAGUAUUCACCAUGGACGCAAUCCCAGCAGAAGCAUUUGCCGCAGGCGCAGACGGCACAGCUUGCCUCGCCGCCAUAGUAUCCAACACAGGGAUCGUUCUCGCUGUACCAGAACGCGUCGGGAACCCUGGUACCGCUUUGCUCCCCCCAGGUUUUGCCGAUCGAACUCCACGGUUAAUAUAAUGACGAGGGGAGUCAGCGAACAAAAGAGUCCUACCCUUACGCACAUCCAUAACCACAACAAUCUCGGUAGGAGUCCUACCCGGAGACUCUGGUAUCUGAUGCGAUUGUGCAACAGACUGGGCCAUAUACCCAGUCGUGUGCAAGUCAAUAGGUUUAGAUUCCAGCCCAUCUUGGCAUAAAAUCAAAUUCAAACAGGACUCCCUUGCCUCACGAAUCCCAAGAUCCGUCUUGGCUGAAUCAUGUGUCUUCUCUCGUGCUGUCGACGCCGAUCGACGCGAUUUCCUGACCGGAACUUCUUUACAAGAGUGAAAGAAAUCUGCCAACGUAAGAGCCGGAAGACGUACCUUCGGUAGAGGUCCCUUCCAUGGUCUUAUCGCGUUCGCGGUAGUUCGCCGGUGCACGACCCGUCGGAGCACCUCCACCCUGUCCUCGGCGUUAGCAGUCAGCCCUUCCCAGGCAGGAUCGGACUCGGGGACGAACCCAUCUAUGGAUUCUGCGAUCUGCUCCUCCGAGUAUCCCACCAGAAUGGAUUCGCAUACUAUGUCGGAAGGGGUUGGAGAAGCAGCUGGUGCGUUCUGCAGGUCGUCGUCGUCGUUAGGCAGAGCCCAGAAGCGUCCGCCGACGAGGCCGAGUCCCCUGCCGGCCGGCGGGGAGCCCAUCGCAUGGCAACCCCUCCUGUCGCCUCAGAGUCGCCUCUCCAGAAAUUUCGGAUCUUCAGUUUGUCGCCUCCGAUGUUUGUGGUAUCCCUACCUGAAUGUAUACAGCAUGCGAAGUAGCAUCGGUGUCUAAUAAUUCAAACUUUCGGUGGACAAGCACCUUCACAGAUUGAGAUCUAGUUAACUUUUCGGUACAUAUCCAUGUCCAUCCUUGCUCGCCGGCUGCAAUUUGUCCCUGGUCCAAUUAAGUUCUCUACCAAGAAUAUACCCUCCUUUUGGUUUCUUCGUGUCUAAGCAUAUCGCUGCGUGGCUAUUUCGCCACAUCGUGAUAGAAGAGGAGGAAGAGCAGCAUAUUCCACCAGGCUUGUAAGAGAAUAAAGGCACCUGCAUAUGGAAUGCAGCAGCAAAGGUCAUUUUAUUUUCCAUAUCCUUUUUGAUAUAUGCCUAGAAAUGCACUCAUAGUGAGUGCGUCGGAUCAGUUUGUGCCCCGGACCCGGUAUGUGGCUCGGUCAGGGUCUCCGGCUUUAGAUGUUAGGCUUAGGUGAGAGGUCUGGGUAUUUGGUCCAGCUUGCACCCCUUCAUCAUAUGAAUAGGAGUAGCGACAGAUGUUGCCAAGAUGACGGAUUCAGACAUAUUGUUGUAUUGUUUUGUAAGGUCCUCGAGAAUAAUCAAUAAAAUGACCGCAUGCAUCUCCCAGAUGCAGAGGCCGGGGGUCAUUAUCCUCUCUUUUUUUUUAAAGUAAUGCACUCAUAUGUUUCCACGUGCUUUCUAUUUCCUGGCGUCAUAUGCUUCUGACGUCAAGUUUGUUUAUUUUCUUGGAGUUUGGUGACGUCAUUUCGCACUUGGAAUUUAAGAUGAGUUAAUUGAAGUGUUAAUAAACAAAAUUGGAGGGAUGGACAGAGUUAAUCAAAGUGUUAAGUAAACUAAAAGUAAGGCAUGACCCAGAAUAUCAGAGAGCGUUAUCUUAAAGACUUUGACACUAGUCCCAAUCCAGGUCAAUGGUCUUGCAUGAAAAAGCUUGUUCAAAUUAACGACUGAAGUGUGGACGCAUAAAUUUUCGGUCGGUCUCUAGCAUUCCACGACUCAUGACCCAGUCCAAUGUUCAUGAACUCAUUUAUUAUUCCGAGAACAAAAAUAUUCUCCGGAAGAACACAAUGAGGCAUGAAUGCGUUGCACAGAUGUUUGGUACUCCACAGUAGCAUGCAUCUUCACUAUCUAGACCGUGCUUGGCUUGCCUUGAAAAUUCCGGCCAAAGAAUCUUUGUUCACAGUGAACCUUGUUAGUCUGUCUGCUUGGCAAGUACGGAGUAUUUGAUAGAACCAAAUUCUGCUCGUCUUGAAAAUCUCGAACGGUCAGUCUGUCGCUGUUUUCAACGGUAGGUCAUAAUUCUACCUGCCUUGAGGUGAAUGAACAUGGAGGGAGAGAGAGCAUGGAUCACAGUCGUUCUUGCCGGCCAUGAGGCACCGCAUUUCCAAACCCUAACAGUACCGCCCGUUGAUGCUGCCGCGGCGCGGUACCGCCCGCCGCGAUGCGUCGCGCUCGCCGGCCACCGUCACUGUACUCAAUCCGAGACUGAGGACCGAAGACGCGGCGUGCCUUCGCCCGGUGAAGACAAGACACGCUUCAGGAGCCACUUUCCCUUUGGCUUUGCACACACGUCGCGUCCAGCACGAGCUGGUCAUGUCCGCACCCGGAGCAUAUAUACCCCCACCACCACCACCACCACCACCAGCACCAACUCCUCGGUGCAGCUCCAAUCCAGUCUAGUGGUCGUAGUUAGUCUAGUGCAAGUGCAAAGUGCAAACAAAGAAAAAAGAAAGAGGCAGCCAGCAAGAAUGUGCUUCGAGUUCAGCUCCUGUUUCGGCGGCGGCAGAAAGGACGACUACGGCGGCGAGCGGUCCAACCACAGCGGCUGCGGCGGCCUUCACCGCGCCCGUAGGGGGUACCGCAAGAACGGGAACGGCUACAACGCGGCCGCCGACGACCACAAACUGGCGACGGCCUACGACCACCAGCGGGCUCUUGACGAGGAGGGGCGCAAGGCCAACCACGAUGGCGCGCGGAAAGCUGAUCACGCCACCGUGGUCGCCGGCGCCAGUGUCCACGGCUACUCUGCUGCCUACGCGCCAGACAAGGCCCACGAGAAGCCAAAGCUUCCUUCGUCGCAAAACAAGGCCAGCGACGACGCCGGCUACGCCGACAACACCGCGCGUCUCCACCAAGCUGCCGCUGAUCAUAGGGAGCACGCCGCCAUGGAUUACCACCACCACUACCCAUCCACUACUACCACUCUCGUCAGGUACUAGAUAGUUGUUAGGAAUAGGAAUAGCUAGCAUGGCAGUUUAUCAAUCCAAAACACUACUGUCUCUCCUUCUGUUCUGUUAGGUAGCUCUGCUUUUCUACUCUCUUUUUCGUUUUUCCCUGGGUAUUGAUCAGAUGAAACUGAGAAGGCACAUGGAUUAAAGGUCUGUGGAUUAUGAUCAGAGCCUCCAUGUAUUUGGCCAUGGAUGUGCGGUACAAGUUCCAGAUCCAGAAAACUUUUACCAGUCUCUUUCUGUAGUUGCUAGCCUGUAAUUUUGCUGUGGCUUCUUUCUUCUUGUAUCAUACUCACUCCGUCUCAAAAUUUUUGUCUUAGAUUUGUCUAGAUAUGGAUGUAUCUAAAUACUAGAUACAUUCAUUUUUAGACAAAUCUAAAACAAGAAUUUUGAAACGGAGGGAGUAUAAUCUAUUGGAAGAAAGAAUUGCUAAGAUCUAUGAUUCCCCAUUUCUACCAUUGCUAUGUGUUUCUCUCUCUUUUCUUUUGCAGUCUUUUCUUCAGUCUUUAAUGAAUAUUUAUUCAUUCUGGUUGUUCUCAUCUCUUGCCCAUUCUGAAGCGCUGAAGAACGCAAUGUCUCGCAAGAGCAGCCAACAUCUUUAUUUCGUUUGUUGGCACCUUAUCUAGUGCUUGAAAUAGCCCACCACAAUUUGUACUAAUCCUGAACCAUGAUACUUGCUCAACAUGUCACCAAGUUAAAAAUAGGUAUAUUGAUAUUUUUCAGAGAAAGGAUCUAGACUUCGGUACAGACUCCCGAGUAUGGAUUUGUAUCACGAUAUGCUUUUUUUCUCUUUGUUAGAUAAAACGAGAUCAACCAGACACGGGAGACACGGAUUUUUACGUGAAAACCCUUGCGGGAGAUAACCACGGACGCACGAAGGCGCAAUCAUUAUGAGGAGGAGUAUUACAAGCACGAGACGACAUACAUUCUUUAGGUGCGACUAUAUGGAGUAUAUAUUGUUGAGUAAAUAGGCNNNNNNNNNNNNNNNNNNNNNNNNNNNNNNNNNNNNNNNNNNNNNNNNNNNNNNNNNNNNNNNNNNNNNNNNNNNNNNNNNNNNNNNNNNNNNNNNNNNNAUUAUCAUAGUUUUGUCAAAUUCUCAAAUAUGCAAAAAGAAUUUUAAUAAACAUAGUUUUAAUUGAAAAUAACAAAAUAGUUAAUAGUUUGGAUAGUCAAAAUAAUWACUUUUGAAAAUAGAAAAUAGUUUAGAAUUAUUUAUUCAAUUUCAAACACUUUUCAUUAUCAUAGUUUUGUCAAAUUCUCAAAUAUGCAAAAAGAAUUUUAAUAAACAUAGUUUUUAAUUGAAAACAACAAAAUAGUUAAUAGUUUGGAUGGUUAAAAUAAUUACUUUUGAAAAUAGAAAAUAGUUUAGAAUUAUUUAUUCAAUUUCAAACACUUUCAUUAUCAUAGUUUUGUCAAAUUCUCAAAUAUGCAAUAAGAAUUUUAAUAAAACAUAGUUUUUAAUUGAAAAUAGAAAAAAUUGAAACUAUAUGAGAAUUUGUAAAGAAACUUAAACCUAAUUCAAAGUGAGCUCACUUUGAAUUCAGAUUUAAGUUUCUCCACAAUUUCAAAUAUAGUUUCAAUUUUUUAAUUUAGGCCCGUAAGCCUGCUUUAGAGAGGAGCUCGAUGGAGUAGCUACGACGGGGCUUAUAAACAAGUGUUAGUCCCCCUCGCUGGGCGAGGUGGGACUAAACUUAUCGUGCAGCCGAGGAGGGGCUUUAGUCCCGGGUGGAGCCACGACCCGGGACUAAAGCCCCUCGCCUGCCGCCUGCCGAGGAGGGGCUUUAGUCCCGGUGCGUGGCUCCAACCGGGACUAAAGACCCCCUUUAGUCCCGGUUGGAGCUCCGCACCGGGACUAAAGGCCCCUGCUUCCCACCUUCUGGUUUGCCCGAAAAGAGGCCUUUAGUCCCGGUCGUGGCUCCACCCGGGAGUAAAGGGGGUCUUUAGUCCCGGUUCGAGCCACGAACCGGGACUAAAGAUCCACCUAUAUAAGCGGGAGUUAGAAAAAUUCCAACCCAAAUCGUUCGUUUCUCUUCUUCUUCCUCUCGUUCUCCUGCCCGGCGCGGCACACCGAUGACCUCGACGACGCCGUCAGGCUGCCCGUCGUCCUCCUCGCCGUCGCGUGCCGUCCUCCUCGCCCUCGCCGUCGUCCUCCUCGCCGCCGCCGUCCUCCUCGCCGCGCGCCGCCCUCCUCGCCGCGCGCCGUCGACACCUCCGGCCGGUAAGCCCCCCGCCCCUCUCCCCAACACUCCGGCCUGUAGAAGAAAAGACGAAAAAAGGAGAAGAAAGGAAGAAAAAAGGAGAAGAAAGGAAGAAAAAGGAGAAGAAAGGAAGAAAANNNNNNNNNNNNNNNNNNNNNNNNNNNNNNNNNNNNNNNNNNNNNNNNNNNNNNNNNNNNNNNNNNNNNNNNNNNNNNNNNNNNNNNNNNNNNNNNNNNNACUUAUUUUUUUGAGCUAGUUGACCCUGAAAUUGAAAAGCACUACAAAUGAACUCUGAAAAUGUUGAAAGUUGGCAUGCUAUCAUCAUUUCACCCACAUAACAUGUGUUAAAAAGUUGAGAGGGCUACGACAUAAACUGGAUGUACUUCGUGUACAAAACGGACAAUCUCUCUCGAAGUAUCACGGUUUCGAACGAGAACUCAUCUCUUACAAAGGGAUUUCAUUUUUUKGAACUUAUUUGAACUCCAUACUUUUUGUGUGUUCGAAAUGCACCAUUCAAAGGCACAUCACAAAAUUUCAACAAUUUCUGACUUCAUUUUAGUAUUCUUCGUGCAUUUACUUUUUUUGAGCUAGUUGACCCUUGAAAUUGGAAAAGCACUACAAAUGAACUCUGAAAAUGUUGAAAGUUGGCAUGCUAUCAUCAUUUCACCCACAUAGCAUGUGUUAAAAAGUUGAGAGGGCUACGACAAAAACUGGAUGCACUUCGUGUACAAAACGGACAAUCUCUCUCGAAGUAUUNNNNNNNNNNNNNNNNNNNNNNNNNNNNNNNNNNNNNNNNNNNNNNNNNNNNNNNNNNNNNNNNNNNNNNNNNNNNNNNNNNNNNNNNNNNNNNNNNNNNUUCAUUUGUAGUGCUUUUCAAUUUCAGGGUCAACUAGCUCAAAAAAAAUAAGUUAAUAGUUUGGAUAGUCAAAAUAAUUACUUUUGAAAAUAGAAAAUAGUUUUGAAUUAUUUAUUCAAUUUCAAACACUUUCAUUAUCAUAGUUUUGUCAAAUUCUCAAAUAUGCAAAAAGAAUUUUAAUAAACAUAGUUUUUAAUUGAAAAUAACAAAAUAGUUAAUAGUUUGGAUAGUCAAAAUAAUAAUUUUUGAAAAUAGAAAAUAGUUUAGAAUUAUUUAUUCAAUUUCAAACACUUUCAUUAUCAUAGUUUUGUCAAAUUCUCAAAUAUGCAAAAAGAAUUUUAAUAAACAUAGUUUUUAAUUGAAAACAACAAAAUAGUUAAUAGUUUGGAUGGUUAAAAUAAUUACUUUUGAAAAUAGAAAAUAGUUUAGAAUUAUUUAUUCAAUUUCAAACACUUUCAUUAUCAUAGUUUUGUCAAAUUCUCAAAUAUGCAAUAAGAAUUUUAAUAAAACAUAGUUUUUAAUUGAAAAUAGAAAAAAAUUGAAACUAUAUGAGAAUUUGUAAAGAAACUUAAACCUAAUUCAAAGUGAGCUCACUUUGAAUUCAGAUUUAAGUUUCUCCACAAUUUCAAAUAUAGUUUCAAUUUUUUAAUUUAGGCCCGUAAGCCUGCUUUAGAGAGGAGCUCGAUGGAGUAGCUACGACGGGGCUUAUAAACAAGUGUUAGUCCCCCUCGCUGGGCGAGGUGGGACUAAACUUAUCGUGCAGCCGAGGAGGGGCUUUAGUCCCGGGUGGAGCCACGACCCGGGACUAAAGCCCCUCGCCUGCCGCNNNNNNNNNNNNNNNNNNNNNNNNNNNNNNNNNNNNNNNNNNNNNNNNNNNNNNNNNNNNNNNNNNNNNNNNNNNNNNNNNNNNNNNNNNNNNNNNNNNNUAAAGACCCCCUUUAGUCCCGGUUGGAGCUCCGCACCGGGACUAAAGGCCCCUGCUUCCCACCUUCUGGUUUGCCCGAAAAGAGGCCUUUAGUCCCGGUCGUGGCUCCACCCGGGAGUAAAGGGGGUCUUUAGUCCCGGUUCGAGCCACGAACCGGGACUAAAGAUCCACCUAUAUAAGCGGGAGUUAGAAAAAUUCCAACCCAAAUCGUUCGUUUCUCUUCUUCUUCCUCUCGUUCUCCUGCCCGGCGCGGCACACCGAUGACCUCGACGACGCCGUCAGGCUGCCCGUCGUCCUCCUCGCCGUCGCGUGCCGUCCUCCUCGCCCUCGCCGUCGUCCUCCUCGCCGCCGCCGUCCUCCUCGCCGCGCGCCGCCCUCCUCGCCGCGCGCCGUCGACACCUCCGGCCGGUAAGCCCCCCGCCCCCUCCUCCCCAACACUCCGGCCUGUAGAAGAAAAGACGAAAAAGGAGAAGAAAGGAAGAAAAAGGAGAAGAAAGGAAGAAAAAGGAGAAGAAAAGAAGAAAAAAGGAGAAGAAAGGAAGAAAAAGGAGAAGAAAGGAAGAAAAAGGAGAAGAAAAGAAGAAAAAGGAGAAGAAAAGAAGAAAAAGGGAAGGAUAAGAAAAAGAAGAAAAAGGAGAAGAAAAGAAGAAAAAGGAGAAGAAAGGAAGAAAAAGGAGAAGAAAGGAAGAAAANNNNNNNNNNNNNNNNNNNNNNNNNNNNNNNNNNNNNNNNNNNNNNNNNNNNNNNNNNNNNNNNNNNNNNNNNNNNNNNNNNNNNNNNNNNNNNNNNNNNGGUUGCGGGAAUGAGCCGCUCAUACCCACGUCUCUCCACCCAGCCGCCUUUAUAAGCACGCGAUCGCCUACCCUAGCCGUCACGAAAAUCAGAUCACAAAGAACUCUGUCCAACAGAAUACCGACUUCAAGAAGAAGGGGAAGAAGCCCUUCAAGAAGAAUAAGAAGGGAGAUGGCUGCUGACUCCAAGUCUGCAAACAUGAUUGUGGUCAACAAUGAAAGUGGUGCAUCUGGGUACGGUAAUUUACUUACUGUAUUUACAGUUUGUCAGUCCACCGAUUGGUGGGUGGACACGGGUGCAAAUAUUCAUGUGUGUGCUGACUUGUCAUUGUUCUCUUCUUAUCAGGCCACCGGUCGCGGGUCCGUAUUGAUGGGGAAUGGCGCGAGUGCUUCUGUUCUUGGUGUUGGCACGGUCGAUCUGAAGUUUANNNNNNNNNNAUCAUUGUUCUCUUCUUAUCAGGCCACCGAUCGCGGGUCCGUAUUGAUGGGGAAUGGCGUGACUGCUUCUGUUCUUGGUGUUGGCACGGUCGAUCUGAAGUUUACUUCGGGAAGGAUCGUGCAGCUGAAGAACGUGCAGCAUGUCCCCGCCAUCAAGAAGAAUCUCGUUAGUGGCUCUCUUCUGUGUAGAGAAGGGUUUAAGUUGGUGUUCGAGUCUAAUAAGUAGUAGUUACGAAAUAUGGACUUUUCAUUGGAAAAGGUUAUGAAUGCGGAGGUCUGUUCCGCCUUUCUCUAGCAGNNNNNNNNNNAGUAGUAGUUACGAAAUAUGGACUUUUCGUUGGAAAAGGUUAUGAAUGCGGAGGUCUGUUCCGCCUUUCUCUAGCAGAUUUUUGUAAUAAAGUCGUGAAUAAUAUUCAUUCGAGUGUUAAUGAAUCUGAAGUUUGGCAUUCACGUCUUUGUCACAUAAGUUUCGGUGUUAUGUCGCGGCUAGCAAAACUGAAUUUAAUCCCAAUUUUCACUUUAGCCAAAGGUUCUAAGUGCCACUCGUGUGUGCAAGCAAAGCAACCUCGCAAGCCUCACAAGGCUGCAGAGGAGAGACACUUGGCACCAUUAGAACUCAUACAUUCUGAUCUUUGUGAGAUGAAUGGUGUGUUGACUAAAGGUGGAAAGAAAUACUUCAUGACAUUGAUAGAUGAUUCCACUAGAUUUUGCUAUGUGUAUCUGUUAAAUACUAAAGAUGAGGCUCUACACUACUUUAAAAUCUAUAAGGCAGAAGUUGAGNNNNNNNNNNNNNNNNNNNNNNNNNNNNNNNNNNNNNNNNNNNNNNNNNNNNNNNNNNNNNNNNNNNNNNNNNNNNNNNNNNNNNNNNNNNNNNNNNNNNUAAAGCGACGUUGAAGUCUCGGUUCUAAGCCAUACAAGACUGCACAUUGAACUAUUGAGUAGUCCUCCUUACGUGCUAACCAAGCGUUCUUAACAUCCUGAUCAGCCGUAGCGGGUGGUUCAUCUCGUAGCGCAGCAUUAAGGACAUAAUCCUUCUUCCCAGCUUGUAAGAUUAGCUUAAGAUUACGAGCCCAGUCUACAAAGUUGCUUCCAUCAUCUUUCAACUUAGCUUUCUCUAGGAACGUAUUAAAAUUCAGGAUGACUGUCGCGUGAGCCAUGAUCAACAACACAAAUAUAUUCAAAGUGGACUUAGACUAUGUUCAAGAUAAUUAGAGUUCAACUUAAUCAAAUUAUAUGCUAAACUCCCACUCAAAAAGUACAUCUCUCUAGUCAUUUGAGUGGUUCAGGAUCCACUUAUACUAUCCCAAGUCCGAUCAUCACGUCGUUGGCCAUAUCACAUCACAAUCAUACCCUGCAAAAACAAGUUAGANNNNNNNNNNUCAUCACGUGCUUCUUGAUCUCCAUCACCAAAGCACCGGCACGAUCUUCUUGUCACCGGCGCCACACCAUGAUCAUCCAUCAACGUGUUGCCAUCGGGGUUGUCGUGCUACUUAUGCUAUUACUAUUAAAGCUACAUCCUAGCAAAAUAGUAAAUGCAUCUGCAAGCACAAACGUUAGUAUAAAGACAACCCUAUGGCUCCUGCCGGUUGUCGUACCAUCGACGUGCAAGUCAAUAUUUCUAUUACAACAUGAUCAUCUCAUACAUCCAAUAUAUCACAUCACAUCGUUGGCCAUAUCACAUCACAAUCAUACCCUGCAAAAACAAGUUAGANNNNNNNNNNCUCUAAUUUUGUUGUUGCAUGUUUUACGUGGUGACCAAGGGUAGCUAGUAGGUUCGCAUCUUACUUACGCAAACACCACAACGGAGAUAUAUGAGUUGCUAUUUAACCUCAUCCAAGGACCUCCUCGGUCAAAUCCGAUUCAACUAAAGUUGGAGAAACCGUCACUUGCCAGUCAUCUUUGAGCAAAGGGGGUUACUCGUAACGAUGAAACCAGUCUCUCGCAAGCUUACGAGUAAUGUCGGUCCAAGCCGCUUCAAUCCAACAAUACCGCGGAAUCAAGAAAAGACUAAGGAGGGCAGCAAAACGCACAUCACCGCCCACAAAAACUUUUGUGUUCUACUCGAGAAGACAUCUUCGCAUGAACCUAGCUCAUGAUGCCACUAUUGGUGAACGUCGCAUGGGAAACAAAAAAUUUCCUGCGCGCACGAAGACCUAUCAUGGUAAUGUCCAUCUACGAGAGGGGAUGAGUGAUCUACGUACCCUCGUAGACCAUACAGCAGAAGCGUUAGAGAACGCGAUUGAUGUAGUGGAACGUCCUCACGUCCCUCGAUCCGCCCCGCGAACAAUCCCGCGAUCAGUCCCACGAUCUAGUACCGAACGGACGGCACCUCCGCGUUCAGCACACGUACAGCUCGACGAUGAUCUCGGCCUUCUUGAUCCAGCAAGAGAGACGGAGAGGUAGAAGAGUUCUCCGGCAGCGUGACGGCGCUCCGGAGGUUGGUGAUGACCUUGUCUCAGCAGGGCUCCGCCCGAGCUCCGCAGAAACGCGAUCUAGAGGAAAAACCGUGGAGGUAUGUGGUCGGGCUGCCGUGGAAAAGUCGUCUCAAAUCAGCCCUAAAACCUCCGUAUAUAUACGUGGGAGGGAGGGGGCCUUGCCUUGGGGUCCAAGGACCCUAAAGGGGGUCGGCCGAGCCUAGGGGGAGGACUCUCCCCCCCCCCAAACCGAGUUGGACUAGGUUUGGUGGGAGGGAGUCCCCCUCCCUUCCCACCUCCUCCUUUUUUUUCCUUUUUCCUUUGAUUUCUUAUCCUUGGCGCAUAGGGCCCUUUUGGGCUGUCCCACCAGCCCACUAAGGGCUGGUGCGCCACCCUUAUGGCCUAUGGGCUUCCCCGGGGUNNNNNNNNNNNNNNNNNNNNNNNNNNNNNNNNNNNNNNNNNNNNNNNNNNNNNNNNNNNNNNNNNNNNNNNNNNNNNNNNNNNNNNNNNNNNNNNNNNNNACCAUAGGGACGAUCAGUGAUUUCCCAUGUCCCGUUAGCCAUGAUGGAAUCCAUCUCGCUACGGACCGCAGCUUUCCAGUAAUCAGCAUCUGGAGAAGCAUACACUUCUGAAAUAGAAGUGGGAUUAUCAUCCACGAGGUAUACGAAGAAAUCAUCACCAAAGGUUUUUGCAGUCCUUUGUCUCUUGCCCCUACCACGGGCUUCCUCGUCAUCCUCCUCAGGAUUUUCAUNNNNNNNNNNGUCCAUCUCGCUACGGACAGCAGCUUUCCAGUAAUCAGCAUCUGGAGAAGCAUACGCUUCUGAAAUAGAAGUGGGAUUAUCAUCCACGAGGUAUACGAAGAAAUCAUCACCAAAGGUCUUUGCAGUCCUUUGUAUCUUGCCCCUACCACGGGCUUCCUCGUCAUCCUCCUCGGGAUUUUCAUCAUGUGUUUGUUCAUAGUAUUCCAUAGGAAUGGCAGGCUCAUGAGUUAUCUCAGAUUCCUGUCUAGAAGUGCUUUGCAUAUCUCUCAUGGGAAACAUAUCCUCAAAGAAUGUAGCAUCCCUCGACUCCAUUAUUGUACCGACCUUCACGUCAGGUACCUCAGAUUUCACUACUAGAAAUCUAUAGCCUACGCUAUUCUUAGCGUAUCCCAAAUUAACGCAAUCCACAGUCUUUGGUCCAAGCUUACGCUUCUUGGGGAUCGGCACAUUGACUUUCGCCAAGCAGCCCCAAGUGCGUAAGUACGAGAGUGUCGUCCUUCUCUUCGACCACUCCUCGUAGGGAGUGACCUCAUUAUCUUUUGUAGGAACUUUAUUCAGGAGAUGACACGCGGUCAAUAUAGCCUCCCCCCACCAUGCCUUGGAUAAACCCGAUGUAUCUAACAUGGCGUUAACCAAAUCAGUUAGAGUACGGUUUUUCUGCUCGGCAACCCCGUUUGACUGGGGUGAAUAGGGAGGCGUCCUCUCAUGAAUAAUGCCGUGUUCCGCACAAAAUGAAUCAAAUUCGUUUGAGAAGUACUCUCCACCACGAUCAGACCGGACUCGUUUAAUUUUCUUUUCANNNNNNNNNNNNNNNNNNNNNNNNNNNNNNNNNNNNNNNNNNNNNNNNNNNNNNNNNNNNNNNNNNNNNNNNNNNNNNNNNNNNNNNNNNNNNNNNNNNNGGGUGGGGGUAUAUAUGCUCCGGGUGCGGAGAUGACCAGCUCGUGCUGGACGCGAAGUGUGUGCAAAGCCAAAGGGAAAGUGGCUCCUGAAGCGUGUCUUCUCUUCACCGGGCGAAGGCACGCCGCGUCUUCGGUCCUCAGUCUCGGAUUGAGUACAGUGACGGUGGCCGGCGAGCGCGACGCAUCGCGGCGGGCGGUACCGCGCCGCGGCAGCAUCAACGGGCGGUACUGUUAGGGUUUGGAAAUGCGUGGCACGGUGCCUCAUGGCCGGCAAGAACGACUGUGAUCCAUGCUCUCUCUCCCUCCAUGUUCAUUCACCUCAAGGCAGGUAGAAUUAUGACCUACCGUUGAAAACAGCGACAGACUGACCGUUCGAGAUUUUCAAGACGAGCAGAAUUUGGUUCUAUCAAAUACUCCGUACUUGCCAAGCAGACAGACUAACAAGGUUCACUGUGAACAAAGAUUCUUUGGCCGGAAUUUUCAAGGCAAGCCAAGCACGGUCUAGAUAGUGAAGAUGCAUGCUACUGUGGAGUACCAAACAUCUGUGCAACGCAUUCAUGCCUCAUUGUGUUCUUCCGGAGAAUAUUUUUGUUCUCGGAAUAAUAAAUGAGUUCAUGAACAUUGGACUGGGUCAUGAGUCGUGGAAUGCUAGAGACCGACCGAAAAUUUAUGCGUCCACACUUCAGUCGUUAAUUUGAACAAGCUUUUUCAUGCAAGACCAUUGACCUGGAUUGGGACUAGUGUCAAAGUCUUUAAGAUAACGCUCUCUGAUAUUCUGGGUCAUGCCUUACUUUUAGUUUACUUAACACUUUGAUUAACUCUGUCCAUCCCUCCAAUUUUGUUUAUUAACACUUCAAUUAACUCAUCUUAAAUUCCAAGUGCGAAAUGACGUCACCAAACUCCAAGAAAAUAAACAAACUUGACGUCAGAAGCAUAUGACGCCAGGAAAUAGAAAGCACGUGGAAACAUAUGAGUGCAUUACUUUAAAAAAAAAGAGAGGAUAAUGACCCCCGGCCUCUGCAUCUGGGAGAUGCAUGCGGUCAUUUUAUUGAUUAUUCUCGAGGACCUUACAAAACAAUACAACAAUAUGUCUGAAUCCGUCAUCUUGGCAACAUCUGUCGCUACUCCUAUUCAUAUGAUGAAGGGGUGCAAGCUGGACCAAAUACCCAGACCUCUCACCUAAGCCUAACAUCUAAAGCCGGAGACCCUGACCGAGCCACAUACCGGGUCCGGGGCACAAACUGAUCCGACGCACUCACUAUGAGUGCAUUUCUAGGCAUAUAUCAAAAAGGAUAUGGAAAAUAAAAUGACCUUUGCUGCUGCAUUCCAUAUGCAGGUGCCUUUAUUCUCUUACAAGCCUGGUGGAAUAUGCUGCUCUUCCUCCUCUUCUAUCACGAUGUGGCGAAAUAGCCACGCAGCGAUAUGCUUAGACACGAAGAAACCAAAAGGAGGGUAUAUUCUUGGUAGAGAACUUAAUUGGAUCGGGGAAAAAUUGCAGCCGGCCAGCAAGGAUGGAGAUGGAUAUGCACCGGAAAGUUAACUAGAUCUCAAUCUGUGAAGGUGCUUGUCCACCGAAAGUAAAGUUUGAAUUAUUAGAGACCGAUGCCACUUGUUAUGGAUUAUGUAGUAUCAANNNNNNNNNNNNNNNNNNNNNNNNNNNNNNNNNNNNNNNNNNNNNNNNNNNNNNNNNNNNNNNNNNNNNNNNNNNNNNNNNNNNNNNNNNNNNNNNNNNNAGGAGAAGAAAAGAAGAAAAAGGAGAAGAAAAGAAGAAAAAGGGAAGGAUAAGAAAAAGAAGAAAAAGGAGAAGAAAAGAAGAAAAAGGAGAAGAAAGGAAGAAAAAGGAGAAGAAAGGAAGAAAAAGGAGAAGAAAAGAAGAAAAAAGGAGAAGAAAGGAAGAAAAAGGAGAAGAAAAGAAGAAAAAGGGAAGAAGAAGAAGAAGAAAGAAAAAGAUUUUUUUUUGUCAUUUAAUUCCUAUUGUUAUUAGGUUUGUGCUAGAUUAUUAGGGUUAGUAAUAUUUAGAAUUAGGUUAGGGUUACAAGAAGAAGAAAUAUGAACAAAAAUAAGAAAAUAAGAUUAGGAAAAAGGAAAAUAAGAAGAGGAGGAGAAGAAAAGAAGAAAAAGGAGAAUAGGAAGAGGAGGAGAGCAGAAGAAGAGGAGAAGUAGAAGAAGAGAAAAAAUUAGAAGAGGAGGAGUGGAGAAGUAGAAGAAGAGAAGAGGAGAAGUAGUAGAAGAAGAGGAGAAGUAGAAGUAGAAGAAGAAGUAGAAGAAGAGGAAAAAUAGAAGAAGAGGAAAAAUUAGUUUAGGGUUACAAGAAGAAGAAAUAUUUUUUUUGUCAUUUAAUUUUGCUAUUGUAUAGUGUAUAUGCUUAAAUUUUAAUAGUGUUUCUUAGAUUAUUGCUUAAUUUUGCUAUUGUAUAUGCUUAAGUGUUAAUAGUUUAAUUUUGCUAUUGUAUAUGCUUAAGUGUUAAUAGUUUAUUUUUAGCAAGAAAAUUAAUAGAACUAGUUUAUUUUUUUAGUUCAUUUUACGAUGCCUAUCCCGCAUCCUCGUCGUCGACUCGGCGGAGGACACCUGCUUGAUCAGAGGGGCCCUGUGUGGGACUGGGCUCCGCCCGGCUGGUAUUGGGAGGUGCUACCUUCCGGGGGGCGUAGGUUGGUGAGGAGCCAGCCCGUCGUUGACCCAAGCUUCCUAAGAAUACUGCUGACACAUUCAAGAAGCAAUGCGGAGUUCUUGUUAGGGAUCACGUCCCGAUCAGCGUUCGGGAGUGGAACAAGCGCAAAGGGGCAGCCGAUAGUGACUAUGUCGCCGAAAGGUACAAAGGUAAUCUUUGGAAUGAUCUCAUGUCACAUUUCAACCUGCCAGAAUGUGAGAAUGAAGACGGCGCAGACAAACUGAGGGCCAUAGUCAAGCAGUGGACUCUAAAGAAGAUGGCCGAACUGUUCCGUAGCUGGAAGAAGAAGCUAUGGAAAAACUAUCUGAAGACAAAGAAAGUGCCAGUAUUCGAGGGGUAUCUAACCAAGCAGGCGAAUCACUGGAAGGCAUUUCAAGAGUACAAGGAGUCAGAAGAUGCCCAGGCAUUAUCAGAAAAGAACAAGAUAAAUGCCGACAAGAAGAAAUAUCACCACAAGCUGGGGCCAGGGGGCUAUGAGACUGCCAUCCCAAAGUGGGAUAAGAAAGAGCUAGAUCUGCUAGCUAAAGGCAUCGUACCUGAACCACUCCGUGAUGAGUGGGAAUUGAGAGCAAGAAAUUGGUUCCUUGCGCAUGGUGGUUCGUACGACGAAGAAACAGGGGACCUCAUCUGCAGUGACGGUCUUAGGAUACCCAGGGAGAAUUGGAAAAGGAUAGUGAAAGAAAUUAAGGAGGGAAAAAGAAAGUUCACUGCAGAUAGAGAGAAAGAUUUUCUCACACUGGUCCUCGGCAAUGACGAACAUGGAGGACGAACGCGAGGCUUCGGUCCUUCUUACCCGUGGUGGCUUGGGUUUGCGAGAGACCAAGACACUUACGGAAGCCGAGAGAGAGCAAAGAAGCGGAAGCAGGAUGAGGAGAAUGACAAGUUCAACCAGUUGCUUGCCAGGAUUAACGAGCAACAGAAGCAGAUUGAUGAGCUUAGAGGAGUAGCGCGCCAGGAAGAUCCUGCAUUUGAUAUUACCGGCGCCCCAUCUAAGCGGAAAAGCAGCGUGGCUGAAUCUGAGGCCCCACCCGACGAUGCACGAAGAAUGAUAGAGGGCGGUCCCGGCUACCCCGUGGAUGGAAUCAAGGAGUCAACAUCAUGUGAACUCCAUCAGAAAUUCAAGAACAUAUCCAUGAAGAUGACCGUCGGACAAGCUUUACCUUCUGGCCCUGAUGCACGCUGGCAUGGCCGUGAGAUUCCAGCUGGCUUUGCUAAAGUCGGGGUGGAUGAAAUCAUGGCGGGGUUUCAUGAUAUGGAGCUCGACAUAGCUGGACCCGAAGAUGAGAGGACACUCGGAGAAGUACUGGGUGGAGUCAUCCUAUGGAACAAGAACUACAUCAAGCUUCCAGGCUCGGCCCCAAGGACAACACCGCCUCCGAGUCGUCGCAGGUCACCUACACCUCCAUUACCUCCAAGCCCUCCACAUGACGUCGGCCAGCACAACACGAGUCCAUCUCUAUCAACGCCGCCGGACUUGGGUCGUCCGUCUCCGCCGCCGCCCGCUCCGGAUACUAAACGGAAGCGUGCCAGCAAGAACGCUCCGCCGACGAUUUCUAAGCGACGGAGCCCCCCAAAGCACAAACGGUUGCCCCUCCCAAAGGUACCUCAUGCUAAUCUUCCUAUCAGACCUUAUGAUCGUACCCCCGAGGAAAACGCCGGGAUAGCAAAGGAACAUCAUGAUGCGCAGAUGAAAAAGAAGGAACCCGAGCCCCGCCCGGAAUACACCGAGAAGCAAAUAGCAUUUGCAAAAUACUUCACGACUCUUCCAUCAUAGUAUGACUUACACCAUAAGCCUGAUGACUAUACACGCACAUUGCAGAAGGAAAUGAAAAAGAGCAGAUCACGUGCAAGUGCAAGUGGGAGCAAAUCAAGUUCAACUACAAGCAAAAAAAAAUCAGACGUUCCUCAGCUUGGACAACAGGCCAAACAGUCGAUCCCACCCCUCAGGGUGUUAACCGAGAAUGUCCCCCCUUCGGUGCAGGGGAAAUAUUUGGAAUUAGCAAAGAAGUGGGCGGCUGAAUGGGGUAUCCCGGUUGAAGACAUUCUGGUUUCCCAAGACGACAGGUUACCCAAGGCUGUGGUAGCCCCUAAGCCACAGUUUGUCAUGGGAGCGCCUUUGGUCAACAAAGAUGAUCUCCCAACAAAUAUGCAUUACAUGCAUACAUGGUACUUAAGUGAAUCAAAGAAUGUGAGAACGAUGAUCGUGGUGAGUGUCCCACGGGAGUACUACGGCCGCCCCGAAGAAAUCCAUAUCGACUUUGAUGAAAUCUUCCAGAUGUACAAUGGCGACGCCCUCGACAAAUCGCUUAUGAGUUGCUAUUGUGUGUAAGUUUUUUAAUUCGUUGUCUACAUAUAACUUGUUUAGUUAUUUCAAUUCAUUGUCUAUAUAUAACUUGUACUCUAUUAUGCAGAAUGAAGAUUCUGGAUUGUAAAAGUAGGAACAUCCUAAAUAUUGGGUUUAUUGACCCAGGUAAAAUACAUAUAGCGACGCUAACUGAUAAACCCAAGGAGACGGAGGAAAACCUUCUUAGGUUUCUAACAGAUCAAAAUUUCUGUGACCACAUAUUGUUUCCAUACAACUUUAGGUGAGGGUCUUUGCUCUGUUGUGUCCAUUCAAUUGUAAGUGUAAUUGAUAAGUUACUGACACACACAUAUAUAUAUAUACAUACAUGUGCAGCUUCCAUUGGAUUCUGUUGGACAUUCAAAUUGAUAAGGAAAGAGUUGAUGCCUUUGACCCAUUAUCGAGACCCUUGAAACAGUUCCAAAGCCUGCAGGACAUGCUCCAAGGGUAAUUUCAAUCAUUCUUGCGCUCUAUCGGUCUCUUUCGAUGACUUUCUGAUAUAUCAAUUAAUAAAAAACUUAGCAAAUCAUUAUCCUUGUCGGGCAGGGUUUGGAAGCGGUUCAAGUGCGUGACUCCCGGUAUCGAGCCUGAGAAGCUGACCUUUAGAGCGGCUCAGGUAAGUAGUAGUAUGAUAUACUUCUAUUUUCAAUAUAUUUAUGAUGCUAGAUUAUUAUUUUGAUCAUAUAUAUUCUAUUCUCGUAAAGUGCGACCAGCAGCCACGGGGGACGCAUAUAUGCGGAUACUAUGUUUGCGAGACCAUUCGCAUGUUUACCUCUGAGCACAAGGAUCACAGAUUCGACGUAAGCAAUGAACAUUCACACCUCUAUUUUAAUCCGUCAUUCUUUGUUAUCAUGAUUGAUAUUCAUAUUCAUCUCCUCUUCUUAUAUAGUACACGGCCAUGAGGACGAAGGUCCUACCAGAGCAACGCGCGAUUGCUGUUGCAGAGGAGCUUGCGACCUUUCUGAGGACGGAAGCUAUAGAAUACAAAGGACGAUUUAGUGUAGCUAGGGGCCAUUACUGAUGUUCGUCCAUGUAAUCGAAUAGACGGGCUCUAGUCCCGAUAAUUCAGAUCUUCAUAUAAUUGUAUAUAUAUGCUCGCUUGUAAGAUAAGUUAAUCUUAUAUAUAUAUAUAUAUAUAUAUAUAUAUAUAUAAUUAUUUCUAUUUAAAUUAUAUGAAAACUAAUUCGCGAACACCAAACGAGGCAUCACGUUAAUCUCCCGAACACAUAAACCCUAAAACCCUAAACCCAAAAAUAAAUAAAAUCUGAAACUCUUUAUCCCGGUCCGUGUAACGAACCGGGACUAAAGGGCCUGCCCCUGAGCGUGCUACGAGACGUCCACGUGGAGCACCUUUAGUCCCAACUUGGAACAGGGCCGGGACUAAAGGUUAGACCUUUAGUCCCGCCCUUUUAGUCCCGGUUGGUGAACCGGGACUAAAGCCCCUUACCGAUCGGGGCUAAAGACCCCGUCCCCCUAGUGGUGGCCAUAGAAUAUGGCAGCGGGCCGUAGAGACGGGUCACCAUGUUGUGCAUUUGGGAAUGCGCCCACUAUGUGCUUUGGGGGACGAAAAUAAAUCUAGGCAACCGGCGUGAUCCAAUAAGCCUGCGGGUCUCAAUCGUACGGAUGUGCGGCUACCGGCCAAAAGUUGGACGGUUUGACUAACGUUGUGGAUCACCACCACUACCGUACUACCACUCUCGCAAGGUACUAGAUAGUCGUUAGAUUAGAUAGGUUGGCAGUUCAUCAAUUAGCCACCCCCCUAAACACUGCCUCUGCCUUACUACUUUGUGUGGUAACUCCCUUUUUCUACUAUGUUUUUUUCCUUUUUCACAAAUACGCAAAGCUUGCGUAUCAUUUGAUUGAUAAAAGGAAUAUAAUGAAUACGGAUUGGAUACAUCAUCACAUGACACGAACCUAGGCAGCCAUGAACAUGGUGCAUGGAGGGAAACAAGGGAUACUGGGUCCAAUCAAGGGACGCAGCACAGCUGGACCUACGAAACCUAAACCAAGAGCGGCAACGCUGAACCAGUGAUGUUGGUAGAGCCAAAGUCAGGGACACUGCGGGCAAGCAAGAUAGCGCCUUCAAAUACGAAGACGACGUCGAGACGCCAUGGCCAUCCCGUUCGGGGAACCUAGGGUUUCCCCUGAGCACGAGGUGGGGAUCAGCUGAGGGCCUUGACAAUGCCUUCAAGAAGGGAGUGACAUCCGCAUGUGCGGCCGCUGCCACCACGGGCAAACCGGGCAGGUAUUUCGUUUGUUGACAUCCGCAGGGCUGGGGGCUGAAAGACCAUUAGUCCUGGUUCAAACGAAAACUGGGACCAAUGUCAGGCAUUGGUUCCGGCUCGGUUUGUCGGGGCAUUGGUUCCGGUUUGGUUCACCUCAUUAGUCCCGGUUCAGGGCAAAACCCGGGAGUAAAGAUCCAGCGACUGUCACGUGGCGUGCCGCGGAGCAUUAGUCCCGGUUUGUGAAAAAAACCGGGACUAAACGGUAGGCUAUUAGUCUCGGUUUUAGGCAAAAACCGGGACUAAAGUGUUGCCUAUAUAAACCAUCGCCCCUCCCACCCUCUUCUCUGUUUUUUGGCUGUUGAGGUGUGUCAUGCCAUGCUCUUGUCACUCUAGUUCAUGCACAUGAGGUGUUCAAUGAAAUGCCCGACCCACACUACUUAAGCUUUCUCCUCUCCAAGCUCGACCUCCAAGCUCCAUUUUCCUUAAUAUUUGUCUAGGUUUGAACGUGCACCAACUCUACAAGUGUUUUCAAAGAAUAACUACUUCAUCCUUUCAUCUGUCACUGCUAGUUUAGCUCAUUUCAAAUGCUCAAACUAACUUCUUAGAGUCUGCACAUGUGUAGGGUGUCGUCCCGUGCCCGUCCUCAUCGUCGUCGAUCGCCCCGCGCCGAUCUCGUCGCGAGCACCACCAUGGUGAGCCUCUUGUUACUAUCUUCUUUUUAAAAGAAAAAAAUUCUUACUUGUCUGAUUUAAAUACAUACUUGUAUAAAUUACUUACUUUCAUUAAAAAAAAUAUUAUAUAGUGCGAUGGUUUUGGUAUCCGCCUUCAUCGGCCCUCGUCGUGUCUAUGAUUCGGAUGUGGUAUAUAUUAUCUUUUAUAACUAUUUGUUUUAUUUAGUGUUUAUGACAAUUAUGACGACCAACCUGAUAUAUAUUUUUUAAUCUAGGAGGUAUGUGAACCGGAAAUUCCAACCCACAUAGAAAUUCUUGUCGAGAAGUUAAAUUUGGUUGAAAAAGAAAACAAAUACUUGAGAGAGAUUGUCCGUUUUAUACACGAAGUGCAUCCAGUUUUUGUCGAAACCCUCUCAACUUUUUAACACAUGCAAUGUGGGUGAAAUGAUAAUAGCAUGUCAACUUUUCACAUUUUUAAAGUUCAUUUGUAGUGCUUUUCAAUUUCAAGGUCAACUAGCUCAAAAUAAAAUAAGUAAAUGCACGAAAAAUACCAAAUGAAGUCAGAAAUUGUUGAAAAUUUAUGAUGUGCCUUUGAAUGGUGCAUUUUGAACACACAAAAAGUAUGGAGUUCAAAUAAGUUCAAAAAAAUGAAAUCCCUAUGUAACAGAUGAGUUCUCGUUCGAAACCCUCAUACUUCGAGAGAGAUUGUCCGUUUUGUACACGAAGUGCAUCCAGUUUUUGUCGAAACACUCUCAACUUUUUAGGACAUGCUAUGAGGGUGAAAAUGAUGAUACCAUUCCAACUUUCAACAUUUUCAGAAUUCAUUAGUGGUGCUUUUCAAUUUCAGGGUCAACUAGCUUAAAAAAAUAAGUAAAUGCACGAAAAAUAACAAAUGAAGUCAGAAAUUGUUGGAAUUUUGUGAUAUGCCUUUUAAUGGUGCAUUUUGAACACACAAAAAGUAUGGAGUUCAAAUAAGUUCGAAAAAAUGAAAUCCCUUUGUAACAGAUGAGUUCUCGUUCGAAACCCUAGUACUUCGAGAGAGAUUGUUCGUUUUGUACACUCAUGGGGUUAUAGUCCUAGGGUAGGGUCAUAGGCCUGCCCCAUGGGUCCUACCCAAGGACUACCCUUCAUAAGGGAUAAGGCCCUUAGUCAGUUUCGACUAAAUUAAGGACUUCCCAUCAUCCAGUCGGUGACGAAUCCUCCAUCAUCCAGUCAGAGAUGAGCAUUCAGAGCGUAUCAAACUUACCGACUGGAUUCCACUCUGUACAUCGUAACCCCCCUGGAGGGCAACGGUCAUACGUUUCCACGUACCUUUAUUAGCAUUUAAGACAUACAUUACCUGUAACGUAGGCAUUUAUUCGCCACUAUUCCACCCCUGUGCACCGAACCGUUGUGAAGGGUAGCGCACUUUAUAUAAGCCGCCCUUCCCCACUGGUGCAGGGGUUAGCAAUUCACUGUAAUCCAUAUUCCAUUCGACAACAAGCUCCCAAGAGCACUGAGACGUAGGGCUUUUACCUCCACCGUAGAGGGGCCUGAACUCAUACAACAUCGCCGUAGCUAAGGCUCUGUCCAUCCUUUCGUACCCUACACAUUUACUGUCAGACUUAUACCAACGACAGUUGGCACCCACCUUGGGGCAGGCGUCUAAGCGACUUUCGGUGAGUUUGCAACUACAUCUUUUCAUCAUGUCGUCCGGUGGAGAUAUGAGCACGGGUCACGAGAUCUUUUUCGGCGCUCUCUCCUUCAUCGUCGACGAUUCGGCAUGCCUUCGGGACGCCCCUCUCGACGUCGAGGCGCUCCCCAGUCGCGGGGCUACGUACUUCCGUGCCGGCACCCGCGGUAUUCUUCUUCUCUAGCAGUUGGCUCCGGUGUCGACCUACGCCGCCGUCGCGCGCCGCAACAAGCGGUCCCACCGUCCGCGGCUCCAGCGUUGGGUGCAACACGCCCAGGCGCGCCAGAACGCGUCCUCACAAGUGGCGGUCCUAGAGUCGGUUGUGGUUGCGCCGCCGUCCUAGCGCUUGGACUCAGUUCCGGCUGAGUUUCCUUCCGAGUACUUGGGUCGUGGGCCUGCAGCUGAAGUGCACAUGGCCAACUCCCAUGAAAGUCCCCGCCAAACUGGCCGGAACGAGCACGAGGUCGGCGAAACAUCCGGCGCUCGCCGUCAGCCCCGCCGUUCUGCCAGUCGGCACACUCUGCAGAGCAACGUGGAGGUGUUCCGCACACCCGUCCUCAACCUGGCUGCCGCCGCCAAGAUAGCCGAUUCUCUCCAGCCGACUGAUUCAGAGGCUGGCACAGGGAUCGAGCAAAUCUGUGCCCUGCUGCACACGGCACAGCAGCAAAAUUCGGCGGUCUCCCAGUCACACAACAGGAUUCACAAUAGUUCUGUUCACGCGAACACGCAUCGGUCAGUUCACAGCCCCGGUUCUCAUCAGCGACACAGGGAAGGCAGCCAUUCCAUGAAUCCCGAAGAUCGUCGCCGCUCACGCACCCCUCCGUGGGGUGGGCCCUACGGGCCCCGACAUCAUGAUGAUCGGCGUUCAGUCGGUGACACUUAUGAUCCAAGGCCCGAUGCGAGAGGGCAUAUCGCCCAGAGGAGGGUCGACAGGGGCCGAGCCCACCGCGAUGGUCACGAUAUGGACCGUCCGAGUGGAAACAGGACCAUCGUCUCUGGUACCGAGUGUUUCAGUCGAGCCAUCCGUUCGGCUGACAUCCCUUCCAACUUCCCAUUGGCGACGGGGAUCAGCAAGUUUACAGGAGAAUCCAAGCCAGAAACGUGGUUGGACGACUACCGAGUGGCAGUCCAGAUCGGAGGAGGGGACGACCACGUCGCCAUGAAACACCUCCCUCUGAUGCUCGACGGCUCGGCACGAGCGUGGCUGAACCAGUUGGCUCCCUCAAGCAUCUACAACUGGGCAGAUCUGGCCCGAGUCUUCAUCAGUACCUUCGAAGGGACGUGCAAACGCCCUGCUGGUCUCGUGGAGCUCCAGCACUGUGUCCAGAAGCAGAAUGAGCCCCUGCGCGAUUUCAUUCAGCGUUGGACGACCCUCUACCACACGGUGGAGAACGUCACAGAGCACUAAGCAGUCUGCGCCUUCAAGGCAGGCGUGCGGUACAGAUAUCUGUACCUGAAGUUCGGUCGAACAGGCGACAUCUCCAUGAGUAAGAUGAUGGAGAUAGCGGCACGCUAUGCAAAUGGCGAAGAAGAGGACCGCAUUCAUAGCGGCAAGCACAAAGCAGUCGCCGAUGGAGAUGGGAAUAGCACUCGGAAGCAGAAGCAGAAAGCUCCGUCUACUCCGCAGGCAGAUGCCGCAGCUGUUACCAAUGCCAAGUUCAAGGUCAAGGGGAAGGCUCAGUUCACCCCCAAGAAGAAGCAGUUCGGAAACCCCAUCCUGGACCAGCCAUGUCCAAUUCACACGAAGAUGGAUGAAGAGGGCAACGCCAUAUAUCCUAAGCAUACCACUCGGCAAUGUCGCCUCCUGAUCCAGGGGUUCGGCGAAGGACAACCGAGUGAAAAGGACAAUGAACAGGAUGAGGAGGACAAGGAGGAUCCGUUCCCCCAAGUCCAUGCAACACUGAUGGUUUUUGCUAACGUUGAGAGCAAGAGUCGACUGAAGCUGGUGAACAGGCAGGUGAACAUGGCCACGCCGACCAACCCCACGUUCCUCAAAUGGUCUCAGACUGCGAUCACCUUUGACCAGUCGGAUCAUCCAGCACACGUACCCACCCCAGGGAGGCAGGCUCUGGUCGUCGACCCGGUGGUGGAAGGAGUUUGACUGCGCAAAGUCCUCAUGGAUGGCGGUAGUGGCUUGAACAUCAUGUACGCUGACACUCUCAAGGGGAUGGAGUCGUCCCUGGACGAAAGGCCAAGUCACUCGGCCAGAUCGCGUUGGAUGUCGUCUUCGGCUCCGACAAGAAUUUCCGCAAGGAAAAGCUGACGUUCGAGGUGGUGGACUUCCAGAGUGCGUACCACGCAAUUCUGGGCCGCCCGGCGUAUGCGCGUUUCAUGGCCCGCCCAUGUUACGUGUACCUGAAGCUAAAGAUGCCAGGCCCAAAAGGUGUGAUCACUAUCACAGGCAAUCGGGAGCGGGCCGAGGAGUGUCUGCAGCAGGGAUCGAGGAUCGCCGAUCAGCAGAUGGCUGUCCUCGAGCUUGACGAGUACAAGAAGACAGUCAACCCCACUGACUUGAUGCGUUCGAAGAAGCCAGCUUCGGAGUCCGCAUUCCAGUCGGUGGGAGAAACGAAGAAGGUCAGCAUCCACCCGACGGACGUCACCGCUGCCCUGACAAACAUCUCCACCACCCUCGAUCCUAAAUAGGAAGCCAAGCUCAUCCAAUUCCUCCGUGAGAACUAGGACAUCUUCGCAUGGAAGCCCGCUGACAUGCCAGGUGUACCCAGGGAGUUGGCUGAGCACUGACUGCAUGUGGAUCUCACCGCUCGGCCUGUCCGAGAACGCCUGCGUCGGUCCGCCGCGCACAAAAGGAAGGCAAUCGGAGAAGAGGUGGCUAAACUUUUGGCAGCCAACUUCAUUCGCGAGGUACACCACUCCAAGUGGCUCGCCAAUGUUGUCAUGGUGCUCAAGAAAGACAAGUCGCUCCGAAUGUGCAUCGACUUCAAGCAUCUCAAUAAGGUCUGCCCGAAAGACCAUUUUCCGCUCCCCCGCAUCGAUCAAAUUGUCGAUUCGACUGCGGGUUGCGAGCGGUUGUCAUUCCUUGAUGCCUACUCGGGCUAUCAUCAGAUCCGUCUGUAUGGCCCCGAUGAAUUAAAAACAGCCUUCAUCACCCCAUUCGGGUGCUUCUGCUACAUCACUAUGCCAUUUGGUUUGAAGAAUGCAGGAGCAACCUUUAUGCGCAUGAUCCAAAAAUGCCUCCUCGACCAGAUCGGUCGGAAUGUGGAGGCGUAUAUGGAUGAUAUCAUAGUCAAGUCACGCAAAGGUUCCGACCGGCUGAGUGACUUGGCAGAAACAUUCGCCAACCUUCGUAGGUACGAUAUCAAGCUCAACCUAGCCAAGUGUUCAUUCGGCGUUCCUAGCGGAAAGUUACUCGGUUUCUUUGUUUUCGAAUGAGGGAUCGAUGUCAACCUCGAAAAGAUCGGGACCAACGUCCGAAUGGAGCGGCCGUUCAGAAUACACGAUGUUCAAAGACUCACAGGUUGCCUAGCGGCUUUGAGCAGGUUUAUCAGUCGACUCGGCGAGAAGGCACUUCCUCUGUACCGACUCAUGAAGAAAUCAGAUACUUUCGAAUGGACAGACGAAGCCCAAAUCGCAUUCGACGACCUCCAAGUCCUACUUUCCACCCAGCCGGUUCUUACUGCUCCGCUCAGUAAAUAACCCCUUCUUUUGUACAUCGCGGCUACAAAUCAAGUCGUCAGCACUGUUCUCACAGUCGAACGGGAAGAAGAAGGCAAAGCGUACAAGGUUCAGCGGCCAGUGUAUUAUGUCUCCGAAGUCCUGACUCCUUCCAAGCAGAGGUAUCCCCAUUAUCAAAAACUUAUCUACGGGAUUUACAUGACUGCGAAGAAGGUGGCUCAUUAUUUUCAAGACCACUCGGUGUCCAUCGUUUCUGAUGCUCCGUUGUCGGAAAUCCUACACAAUCGGGACGCAUCGGGCCGAGUGGCGAAGUGGGCAAUGGAGAUGUUAUACUGCGACAUCAAGUUCGAGGCCAAGAAAGCUAUAAAGUCUCAAGCUCUGGUUGGCUUCAUAGCAGAAUGGGUAGAACAACAGCAACCGACCCACAUCUACUCGGCUCAUUGGACAAUGUUCUUCGAUGGGUCCAAGAUGUUGAAUGGCUCCGGCGCUGGCGUUGUGAUCAUAUCGCCAAAAGGUGACAAACUCAAGUAUGUGUUGCAAAUACACUUUGAUUCCUCCAACAAUGAGGCAGAGUAUGAAGCUCUCCUUUAUGGACUGUGCAUGUCCAUCGCACUCGGCGUCCGUCGCUUGAUGGUCUAUGGCGAUUCGGAUUUGGUGGUUAAUCAAGUGAUGAAGGAGUGGGACGUCAGGAAUCCCACCAUGACUACAUACUGCAAUGCGGUGAGGAAGCUCGAGAAAAAGUUUGAAGGUCUGGAACUGCACCAUGUUCCGCGACUGAAAAACGAAGCAGCUGAUGAAUUAGCGAAACUCGAAUCCACUCGGAGACCAGUCCCGAGUGACGUCUGCCUCGAGCACCUUCACCUUCCCUCAGUUAAAGAAGAUCCUUUCACGGAGGAACCAGUACAACCAAAGAGCUCGACAGAUCCGACUGAAGUCGAGGUCCCCGCUGUGGUUGAUUUGAUCAUGGAGAUUCUUGCUAUCAUCCCCGAUUGGACUGUGCCGUUCAUUGCAUACAUCCUGAGGCAAGAAUUACCAGAAGACGAAGUCCAAGCCAGACAGAUCAUCCGCAGGUGAAAAUCGUUCACUGUCAUUGAUGGCCAGUUGUAAAAGGAAAGCGUUUCAGGCGUCCUUCAACGAUGCAUCUCCCGUGAGGAGGGACAGUUAAUCGUGGAAGAAAUUCACUCGGGAACCUGCGGUCAUCACGCCUCCUCAAGGGCAAUCGUCGCCAAAGCAUUCCGAGCUGGCUUCUUCUGGCUGCAGGCGAAUGAAAUGGAGAAAGAUAUGGUCGACCGAUGUGAAGGCUGUCAGUUCUACUCUAACAAGUUCCACAAACCAACAUCUGCGUUGAAGAUAAUCCCUCUUGUUUGACCGUUUGCAGUAUGGGGAUUAGAUACAGUCGGUCCAUUCAGAACAGGCGAAGGGGGAUUCACACAUCUGUUGGUGGCAGUCGACAAGUUCACAAAGUGGAUUGAAGCCAAGCCCAUCAAAAAGCUCGACGCCCUUACGGCCAUCAAGUUUGUCACGGACAUCAUCUCCAGAUUCGGGGUACCUCACAGCAUAAUCACUGACAAUGUAACAAACUUUGACUCGGACAAAUUAAAAGGUUUCUGUACAAGCCAAGGUAUCCGAGUGGAUUUUGCAUCUGUGGCACAUCCCCAAACAAACGGGCAAGCAGAGCGGGCGAAUGGACUUAUUCUGCAAGGUUUGAAGCCUCGACUCCUGCGAUAAGUGGGACAUGCCGCCGGCGCAUGGGUCACCGAGCUACCUUCGGUGCUUUGGGGUCUCCGCACAACCCCAAGUAGAUCUACAGGGCGAUCCCCGUUCUUCCUCGUUUACGGAGCAGAGGCAGUCCUUCUGAGUGACUUGCUUCACAACGCUGCACGAGUUGAACUCUUCUCCGAAGCUGAAGCAGAACAAGCAAGGCAAGACGGAGUGGAUCUUCUAGAGGAGGAGCGCGAGAUGGCACUGACUCGCUCAACCAUUUAUUAACAAGACCUGCGGCGUUUUCACGCGCGACACGUCAGGAGUCGUACAUUCGAAGCAGGCGACCUGGUGCUCCGAGUGGAUCAGCAGAGACCUCACAAGUUGGCUCCCGUCUGGGAAGGACCCUUCAUCAUCUCCAAGGUGCUGAACAACGGAGUAUAUCGACUCUACAACCUCGACAGGGAAACGGACAAGCCGCGAGCAUGGAACGGAGAUCUCCUGAAGCGCUUCUACACGUGACCGUCGACUGAAGCAAUGUAAAGAACAAGUAUCGUUGAAGUAAUACAAAGCAGAUUGAGUUUUUGCAGGUUCAAAAUUCUUCCGCGGUCGCAGACUCCGGUCUCAAAAAAAACGUCGCACUCGGGGACUUAGCUGUGAUCAAGAAUCGCCUAAGUACAAACUUUCUCCGAGUGUGCACUAAACGUCGCACUCGGGGACUUAGCUGCGAUCAAGAAUCGCCUAAGUACAAACUUUCUCCGAGUGUGCACUAAACGUCGCACUCGGGGACUUAGCUGCGAUCAAGAAUCGCCUAAGUACAAACUUUCUCCGAGUGUGCACUAAACGUCGCACUCGGGGACUUAGACGCGAUCCAGAAUCGCCUAAGUACUAACUUUCUCCGAAUGUGCACUAAAACGCCGCACUCGGGGACUUGUCUGCGAUCAAGAAUCGCCUAAAUAGAAAGCUUCCUUCGAGUGUAUCUUACAGAUCCACUCGGAGGCUUAGUAGACACUCAUUGAAGCUCAUGUAGAUGUCAGGACAACUGACAAUUACAUGAGUAGCAGAACCUCAUUGAGGCUCAUGUAGAUGUCAAGACAACUGACAAUUACAUGAGUAACAACUCGCUCCGAGUACGACCUUACAGUCGCACUCGAAGACUUAGCCGCGAUCACGAAUCGCCUAAGUACACAAUUGCCUUCGAGUGUAUCCUACAGAUCCACUCGGAGACUCAGCAGACCCUCAGUGAGGCUCAUGCAGAUGUUAAGACAACUGACAAUUACAUGCUCCGCAUGUUUGCCAUUGGCUUCACCAAGAAACGCCAAACAGAAACCACGAGCCAAAAUCGUGUCAACAACUCAUUGGUAAAGGAAGAACAAAAGAUUCGAUUCAAAUUCAAAGUUCGUCUAAAUAUAGUUGGUUCGGUGUAGAUCAAGCUUAUCCACACCGAACCACGAAUGUGACCGCCAACAGCAGUGGCCAAAGUUUCAUACAACUAACACUCGGCAUACCGAGGUAAAAGUUUUCUCAAGAGUCAUCCGGACUGGCACUGGGACUGGCAGGCUCCACGAAAGUGUCGAGGACGAUCCCGUCUGCGAUGCGAGUGGCGCUCUCAAGGAAAGUCUCCAUGAAAUCUUCGAAUCGAAGCUUUUUGGUGCUGGCGACUUGCAACGCCUUCAGCUUCUCUUCGCGAGCCUCCUUGCAGUGCUCUUGGACCAGCGACAGCGCCACGUCUGCACCACAGCGAGCCGCAGACUUCUUCCACGCCUGCACUCGGUUCGGGACCUCCUCCAGCCGAGUCAUCAACCCUUCCAUCUCUUGCCGAGACUCGUCUUCGGGCCACAGCUCUUUGUCGAUUGGGCCGACAACCUCUCUCAGUCGACCGAUGAAAGGUCCCACUUUGCCCAAGCGAAUCUGCGCUCGGAGCAUGUCUCGAUUGGCAUCCUCGCAGAGUGGAACGUUCAGAAGAACCGACCGCUCAACGUCAGCUGCUUCAGCCUCAGCGUCCAUGCAAAAAUCUGCAAAGACAAGACGAGCAAAAAGUAAGCGCAGAAUGAAAUACACAGUCAAGAAGCACUCGGAAAAACAGAACUUACCACCGAGAAGCGCAAUCAUCUUCCUUGCCCAGUCACUGACGUACUUCUCCUGUGCUAUGCACCGCUUGUUCAUCACCUGCAUCUGUCCCAUCAGCUCGGUUCUUUGUUUCCCCAUUUUCUCCAUUUCGGCCACCAAUGCCUUGUUUGCCUCACGGGACUCCUCCAAGGACUUCUCUCGUUCAGCCAGAACACCCUUCAUACCAGCCAAGGCAAGCAUUGCUGCAUCCAGUUCCGCAGCAAACUGAAUCUUUUCAGCCUUCAGAGUGUCAUAUGCUGAUCCCAUCUCGCAAGUCUUCUGCAAGUCAACGCCAAGAGACGAUCAGAAAAAUUCAACAAGGACAACAAUAAAAACUCGAAGUUCUUCAGACCCCUGCCGACGCAAGCAGUCGACAGCGGUCUCGGGGACUACACCCAGUGGGUUCACUGAGAGUGACCCCACUGGCAUGAACCUCAAACAGGUCCGCCCUAUUGAGAUGCAUAACAAAAAACAAGCCUAUGAGGCUACUACUACCCGACCUGAGUAAAAUUACUCUCGGGGACUAAUCCAGUAGGUGCACUCGGAGUUCCCCCACCGGUAACAUUCGAACAUAUUAGUUUUGAUCUGAUCAACUUAAAGAAAAUGUAUAUAAAGACAACUGCCGGUGCAAGCACUCGACAAAAGUCUCGAGGACUACACCCACUGGGUUCACUCUUAAACACCCAGUGGGUUACAAGGGAAAGCAAAUACUUACUAGCCCACUUACUCGUAUAUUGUCCCGGAGUUCCAAGCUUCGCUUGUACACAGACGCGAUGGAGUCGUACGCUCUCUUGGCAUCACCCGCCAUCAACACCGCCUGCACCAUGGCCCCCUUGGCAGCUCCCACCUGAUCUUCCGGAAGGCGCCGGGCGUCGAACUGGACGGUCGACGGACCUGGCACCACAAGAGACUCCUUCGGCAUCCCAAGUCCUGCUCCAGUCGGUUCAGCAACGAUGAGCGCCGUGUCAGUCGACGGCAUCGUCUCGGUUGGCGGCGCGUCCAUGGCGGGAGUAGUAACAUACGGAACAACCUCAAGGACAGGCGCCGCAGCUUGCUCGGACCUCUUCUGAUCGUCCUCCUCCACAUGGAUCACCUCUGAAGGAAGCCCGACCAAACGACGUGAGACCACAGGAAAAAGGACAAGACCAAAGCUAGAAUUCGUGAAACAAUAAUGUAAGCUCUCGGAGUCGCCACGACGUACCUUGCUGGGAUGUGACAACGUUGUCCGUAUCCAUGGGAUCGUCCCCCUGGCGUGGCAGAGAAGUGGCGGAGGUGGCAGCUCUGUCGAGUAAAAUUCACUCGCCAAUAAGCAUGAGUUCAAUCAAAUACUGGAAGAAGAUAGAAGAACAAUACACUUACGCUGAGGCAAUGGGAACAACGAUCCUCAUCCGCGGCAAAGCCUUCCGAGGUUUGGAUCCACUCGGUUUGGCCACCUUAGAGGGCUGACCCGCGGGCUCAGCAGCAGAGUCCCUGGUCCUCUUGGUGCUCCGAGCACUCGGAACCACGGGAGAAGCUGGCAAGGCACUCGGAACCACAGGAGGAGCUGGCGGGGCACUCGAGGCCGCUGGAGGAGCCGACGGAGCCACGGGUUCGUGGCGGCGUUUAGUUCGAGGCUCUCGUGGUGGGGGUGGUGAGUUCUGCUCCUCAUCUUCCCCCUCUUCUUCUUCGGACUCCUCCUCUGU
rnacentral:lncRNA from 1 species